rnacentral:lncRNA from 1 species
UUUAUUAUUAUCUUCUACCUUAUGCAAGAGUCAUGGUGAUUUUCACCUUUCCUUUUUAUAUUUUAUCCUUUGGCAAGCACAGGAUGUUCGAAACAUCCUGAUAGAUAUAUCUAAUUGGAUAUGGGUUGGCAUGAACUAUUAUUGUUGACAUUACCCUUGAGGUAAAAGGUUGGGAGGCGAAACUAUAAGCCCCUAUCUUUCUCUGUGUCCUAUUAAAACUCCGUAACCACAAGUAUUGCGCGAGUGUUAGCAAUUAUGAAAGACUAAAUGAUAGUUGAGUAUGUGGACUUGCUAGAAGGCUCUGACAUAGACUCUUUCUGAUGUUAUGAUAAAUUGCAAUUGCUUCACUGACUGAGAUUAUAGUUUGUUAGUUCUCAAUAAAGUUUCUGAUUCAUACUUUGCAUUGUGAAUAGAUUAUUACUUGAGCAUAAGAAAUCAUAUGACAAAAUCCAUAUAUGUUGCUGUUAUGAGAAUAAUCAUGAUGCCCUCAUGUCCGUAUUUUAUUUUAUCGACACCUCUACCUCUAAACAUGUGGACAUAUUUAUCGUUAUCGGCUUCCGCUUGAGGACAAGCGAGGUCUAAGCUUGGGGGAGUUGGUACGUCCAUUUUGCAUCAUGCUUUUAUAUUGAUAUUUAUUGCAUUAUGGGCUGUUAUUACACAUUAUGUCACAAUACUUAUGCCUAUUCUCUCUUAUUUUACAAGGUUUACAUAAGGAGGGAGAAUGCCGGCAGCUGGAAUUCUGGGCUGGAAAAGGAGCAAAUAUUAGAGACCUAUUCUGCACAACUCCAAAAGUCCUGAAACUCCACGAAAGUUAUUUUUGGAAAUAAUAAAAAAUACUGAGCGGAAGAAAUACGUCAGGGGGGCCUCCACCUGUCCACGAGGGUGGGGGGCGCGCCCCCUGCCUCGUGGGCCUCCUGUUGGUCCUCCGGUGGCCAUCUUCUGCUAUAUGAAGUCUUUUGUCCGAAGAAAAAUCAUAAGCAAGCUUUUGGGACGAGACUCCGCCGCCACAAGGCGGAACCAAUCUAGGGCUCCAGUAGAGCUGUUCUGCCGGGGACACUUCCCUCCGAGAGGGGGAGAUCAUCGCCAUCGUCAUCACCAACGCUCCUCUCAUCGGGAGAGGGCAAUCUCCAUCAACAUCUUCACCAGCACCAUCUCCUCUCAAACCCUAGUUCAUCUCUUGUAUCCAAUUCUUGUCUCCAAGUCUGGGAUUGGUACCUGUAGGUUGCUAGUAGUGUUGAUUACUCCUUGUAGUUGAUGCUAGUUGGUUUAUUUGGUGGAAGAUCAUAUGUUCAGAUCCUUUAUGCAUAUUAAUACUCCUCUGAUUAUGAACAUGAAUAUGCUUUGUGAGUAGUCACAUUUGUUCCUGAGGACAUGGGAGAAGUCUUGCUAUUAGUAGUCAUGUGAAUUUGGUAUUCGUUCGAUAUUUUGAUGAGAUGUAUGUUGUCUAUCCUCUAGUGGUGUUUGUGAACGUCGACUACAUGACACUUCACCAUUAUUUGGGCCUAGAGGAAGGCAUUGGGAAGUAAUAAGUAGAUGAUGGGUUGCUAGAGUGACAGAAGCUUAAACCCUAGUUUAUGCGUUGCUUCGUAAGGGGCUGAUUUGGAUCCAUAUGUUUCAUGCUAUGGUUAGGUUUACCUUAAUACUUUUGUUGUAGUUGCGGAUGCUUGCAAUAGAGGUUAAUCAUAAGUGGGAUGCUUGUUCAAGUAAGAACAACACCCAAGCACCGGUCCACCCACAUAUCAAAUUAUCAAAGUACCGAACGCGAAUCAUAUGAACGUGAUGAAAACUAGCUUGAUGAUAAUUCCCAUGUGUCCUCGGGAGCGCUUUUCUCUAUAUAAGAGUUUUUCUAGGCUUAUCCUUUCCUACAGAAAGGAUUGGGCCACCUUGCUGCACUUUAUUUACUUUUGUUACUUGUUGCUCGUUACAAAUUAUCCUAUCACAAAACUAUCUGUUACCUAUUAUUUCAGUACUUGCAGAGAAUACCUUGCUGAAAACCGCUUAUCAUUUCCUUCUGCUCCUCGUUGGGUUCGACACUCUUACUUAUCGAAAGGACUACAAUAGAUCCCCUAUACUUGUGGGUCAUCAAUCACCAACGCUCCUCUCAUCGGGAGAGGGCAAUCUCCAUCAACAUCUUCACCAACACCAUCUCCUCUCAAAACCUAGUUCAUCUCGUGUAUCCAAUUCUUGUCUCCAAGUCCGGGAUUGGUACCUGUAGGUUGCUAGUAGUGUUGAUUACUCCUUGUAGUUGAUGCUAGUUGGUUUAUUUGGUGGAAGAUCAUAUAUUCAGAUCCUAUAUGCAUAUUAAUACCCCUCUGAUUAUGAACAUGAAUAUGCUUUGUGAGUAGUUACGUUUGUUCCUGAGGACAUGGGAGAAGUCUUGCUAUUAGUAGUCAUGUGAAUUUGGUAUCCGUUCGAUAUUUUGAUGAGAUGUAUGUUGUCUAUCCUCUAGUGGUGUUAUGUGAACAUCGACUACAUGACACUUCACCAUUAUUUGGGCCUAGAGGAAGGCAUUGGGAAGUAAUAAGUAGAUGAUGGGUUGCUAGAGUGAAAGAAACUUAAACCCUAGUUUAUGCGUUGCUUCGUAAGGGGCUGAUUUGGAUCCAUAUGUUUCAUGCUAUGGUUAGGUUUACCUUAAUACUUUUGUUGUAGUUGCGGAUGCUUGCAAUAGAGAUUAAUCAUAAGUGGGAUGCUUGUUCAAGUAAGAACAGCACCCAAGCACCGGUCCACCCACAUAUCAAAUUAUCAAAGUACCAAACGCGAAUCAUAUGAACGUGAUGAAAACUAGCUUGACGAUAAUUCCCAUGUGUCCUCGGGAGCGCUUUUCUCUAUAUAAGAGUUUGUCUAGGCUUGUCCUUUGCUACAAAAAGGAUUGGGCCACCUUGCUGCACUUUAUUUACUUUUGUUACUUGUUGCUCGUUACAAAUUAUCCUAUCACAAAACUAUCUGUUACCUAUUAUUUCAGUGCUUGCAUAGAAUACCUUGCUGAAAACCGCUUAUCAUUUCCUUCUGCUCCUCGUUGGGUUCGACACUCUUACUUAUCGAAGGACUAUGAUAGAUCCCCUAUACUUGUGGGUCAUCAGCCAGCCCUUCCAAAGCCGUCCACAAUCACAUUCUCCGCCCGGAGAAUCUUCACGUGCCAACAGUAACUCUCCCCACCCCCCUCCGUCGUCAUUUCUUUCAACCCCUCCCCCUGCUACAAACUCUAACUCGGACCCUGCUGCGGCGGACACAGCUCUCCCUCUUCAGGAUCUUGACACUCAUGAGUGCACUGCUCGCAAGGAGCGCCGCAGGUAUGCUCGCGAUCGCUCUGUCUCCAAGGACAAGUUACGCCGGAGCGCACGUCUUGCUGCCAAAGAAACCAAGUAUUCCCUCAUGCUCGCCAAAGCUGUCAAGGCCAAGGCAGCUCGCCUCUCCACCUCCGACGUUGACACGGCCAUUGGACAUGCUAUCCAGGAUGCCCGCCUUGAUGCUCCCGACGGCCCACUUGCCUCGGCUGAAGACUUGGCCACGAUCGCGCUCCUCUGUGGCGCGGACGACGGCCACCUCGACGCCAUCCUCUCCUCCGAGGAGGCCGCCUCUGGUGACGACUCCGAGCCAUGAUCGCUGCCCCAUCCAUGCACGGCCCACGGACGUCUGGGGCCCACUGCAAGUUAACGUCCGUCUCUAUUAGUUGUAGUUGUCACGUGUGUCAUGUCGCGCUGCUCUUUUGGACUCUGUGCGCAUUGCCUUUUGUUUGGCUAUCUGCUGUCUCAACUGAUGUAGUAGGUCUCAUGUACUCCUUCGCGCUUUCCGCCGUCCGCCUGUGGUGUCGAAAAACCUUUUAUGAGUAAUGAUGUAAGCUCUAUCUGCUCCUGGAAUGUAUGUGGUCUGGGUGAUGACGACAAGUGUAAUGUUGUCCUCUCUGAACUUUUAGCGAUCAACCCUCACGUUGCCCUCUUGCAGGAAUCUAAACUAGAAUCUUACACCGACGCCAAGCUUCGCUCCUUUCUACCCUUCCACCUCGACCAAGCCUUUCCACUGCCCGCCAUUGGCACGACCGCGGCACCAUAACCGCCGUUAACCCCUCCUCUCUCCAGGUCAUCUCGCACUCGCACAAAAUUUUCUCCUCCACCGUAACUCUAAGAUCAACUGCAUGUGCCCUCAACAUCGCCAUCACCAACAUCUACGCUCCCUCUACACGUGCCCUCAAACAAGCUUUCUUUGCCGACCUCCUCUCCAUCGCGCAACCUGACCAUGCUCCUUGGCUUGUCCUCGGCGAUUUCAACCUCCUUCGCUUUCCCUCGGACAAAAACAACUCCUCCUUUCGACAGUUAGAAGCUAAUGCCUUUAACCACGUUAUCGACACCUUAGCCCUCAUUGAACUGCCUCUCCUCGACCGACAAUUUACGUGGACCAACAACCGCUCCUCGUCCGAACAUCAUAACUGCACCCUAUUGGAUAUGGUGCAUUCCAUGAUGUUUCUUAUCAAAUUACCACUAUCGUUUAUGGGUUAGGCAUUAGAGACAACCGCAUUCACUUUAAAAGGGGCACCACGCAAUUCCGUUGAGACGACACCGUUUAUAGAAACCUAAGUUGUCGUUUCUUAAAAGUUUGGGGCUGCGAUGCUUAUGUGAAAAAGUUUCAGGCUGAUAAGCUCGAACCCAAAGUGGAUAAAUGCAUCUUCAUAGAAUACCCAAAAACAGUUGGGUAUACCUCCUAUUUCAGAUCUGGAAGCAAAAGUAAUUGCUUCUAGAAACGAGUCCUUUCUCGAGGAAAAGUUUCUCUCGAAAGAAUUGAGUGGGAGGAUGGUGGAGACUUGAUAAGGUUAUUGAACUGUCGCUUCAACUAGUGUGUAGCAAGGCACAGGAAGUUGUUCCUGUGGCACCUACACCAAUUGAAGUGGAAGCUUAUGAUGGUGAUCAUGAAACUUCGGAUCAAGUCACUACCAAACCUCGUAGGACGACGAGGAUGCACACUACUUCAGAGUAAUGCGUGAUCCUGCCUUGGAAGUCAUGUUGCUAGACAACUAUGAACCUACGAGCUAUGGAGAAGCGAUGGUGGGCCCAUAUUCCGACGAAUGGCUCGAGGCCAUGAAAUCCGAGAUAGAAUCCAUGUAUUAGAACAAAGCAUGGACUUUGGUGAACUUGCCCGUUGAUCGGCAAGCCAUUGAGAUAAAUGGAUCUUUAAGAAGAAGACGAACAUGGACGGUAAUGUUACCGUCUAAGAAGCUCGACUUGUGGCAAAGAGUAUUUUCACAAGUUCAAGGAGUUGACUACGAUGAGUUUUUCUCAUCCGUAGUGAUGCUUAGGUCCGUCGGAAUCAUGUUAGCAUUAGCUACAUUUAUGAAAUCUGGCAGAUGGAUGUCAAAACAAGUUUCCUUACCAGUUUUCGUAAGGAAAGGUUGUAUAUGAUACAAUCAGAAAGGUUUUGUCGAUCCUAAGGAUGCUAAAAGGUAUGCUAGCUCCAGCGAUCCUUCCCUGGAUUAGAGCAAGCAUCUCGGAGUCAGAAUAUACGCUUUGAUGGAGUGAUCAAAGUUUUUGGGUUUAUACAAAGUUUGUUAGAAUCUUGUAUUUACAAUAAAGUGAGUGGGAGCGCUACAACAUUUCUGAUAAUUAUAUGUGAAUGACAUAUUGUUGAUCCGAAAUGAUGUAAAAUUUCUGGAAAGCAUAAAGGGUUGUUUGAAAGGAGUUUUUCAAAGGAAGACCUGGAUAAAGCUACUUACAUAUUGGGCAUCAAGAUCCAUAGAGAUAGAUCAAGACGCCUGAUGAUACUUUCAAAAGACAGCACACCUUGACAUGAUUUUGAAAGAGUUCAAAAUAGAUCAGCAAAGAAGGAGUUAUUGGUUGUGUUACAAGGUGUGAGUAUUGAGUGAGACUCAAGACCUGACCACAGCAGAAGAUAGAGAAAGGACGAAGGUCGUCCCCUAUGCUUUAGACGUAGGCUCUAUUGUAUGCUAUGUUGUGUACCGCACAUGUAGUGUGCCUUGCCAUGAGUUGGUCAAGAGGGUACAAUGGUGAUCCGGGAAAGGAUCUCAUGACAGCGGUUGAACUUAUCCUUAGUACCUAGUGGAUUAAGGAAUUUUCUCGAUUAUGGAGGUGGAAAGGAGUUCGUCAUAAAGGGUUACGUCGAUGCGAACUUUGACACUAAUCCGGAUGACUCUGAGUAGUAAACCGGAUUCGUAUAGUAGAGCAAUUAUUUGAAAUGGCUCCAAAUAGCGCGUGGUAGCAUCCACAAAGAUGACAUAGAUAUUCGUAAAGCACACGGUUCUGAAAGGUUCAGACCCGUUGACUAAUAACCUCUCUCACAAGCAUAACAUGACCAAACCAGAACACAUUGAGUGAUAAUCACAUAGUGAUGUGAACUAGAUUGUUGACUCUAGUAAACUCUUUAGAUGUUGGUCACAUGGUGAUGUGACCAGUGAGUGUUAAUCACAUGGUGAUGUGAACUAGAUUAUUGACUCUAGUGCAAGUGGGAGACUGUUGGAAAUAUUCCCUAGAGGCAAUAAUAAAUUGGUUAUUAUUAUAUUUCCUUAUUCAUGAUAAUCGUUUAUUAUCCAUGCUAGAAUUGUAUUGAUAGGAAACUCAGAUACAUGUGUGGAUACAUAGACAACACCAUGUCCCUAGUAAGCCUCUAGUUGACUAGCUCGUUGAUCAAUAGAUGGUUACGGUUUCCUGACCAUGGACAUUGGAUGUCGUUGAUAACAGGAUCACAUCAUUAGGAGAAUGAUGUGAUGGACAAGACCCAAUCCUAAGCAUAGCAUAAAAGAUCGUGUAGUUUCGUUUGCUAGAGCUUUUCUAAUGUCAAGUAUCUUUUCCUUAGACCAUGAGAUCGUGCAACUCCCGGAUACCGUAGGAGUGCUUUGGGUGUGCCAAACGUCACAACGUAACUGGGUGACUAUAAAGGUGCAUUACGGGUAUCUCCGAAAGUGUCUGUUGGGUUGGCACGGAUCGAGACUGGGAUUUGCCACUCCGUGUGACGGAGAGGUAUCUCUGGGCCCACUCGGUAAUGCAUCAUCAUAAUGAGCUCAAUGUGACUAAGGCGUUAGUCACGGGAUCAUGCAUUGCGGUACGAGUAAAGAGACUUGCCGGUAACGAGAUUGAACAAGGUAUUGGGAUACCGACGAUCGAAUCUCGGGCAAGUAACAUACCGUUUGACAAAGGGAAUUGCAUACGGAUUGAUUGAAUCCUCGACACCGUGGUUCAUCCGAUGAGAUCAUCGUGGAACAUGUGGGAGCCAACAUGGGUAUCCAGAUCCCGCUGUUGGUUAUUGACCGGAGAGGCGUCUCGGUCAUGUCUGCAUGUCUCCCGAACCCGUAGGGUCUACACACUUAAGGUUCGGUGACGCUAGGGUUAUAGAGAUAUAUGUAUGCGGAAACCCGAAAGUUGUUCGGAGUCCCGGAUGAGAUCCCGGACAUCACGAGAGGUACCGGAAUGGUCCGGAGGUGAAGAAUUAUAUAUAGGAAGUCCAGUUUCGGCCACCGGGAAAGUUUCGGGGGUUACUGGUAUUGUACCGGGACCACCGGAAGGGUCCCGGGGGUCCACCGGGUGGGGCCACCUAUCCCGGAGGGCCCCGUGGGAUGAAAGUGGAAGGUAACCAGCCCCUAGUGGGCUGGGCGCCCCCCCAUGGGCCUCCCCCCAUGCGCCUAGGGUUGGGAACCCUAGGGUGGGGGACUUCCCCCUUGCCUUGGGGGGCAAGCAACCCCUUGCCACCCCUUGGCCGCCGCCCNNNNNNNNNNNNNNNNNNNNNNNNNNNNNNNNNNNNNNNNNNNNNNNNNNNNNNNNNNNNNNNNNNNNNNNNNNNGGGCCUAUAUAAAGGGGGGAGGGAGGGCAGCAACAUACAGCCUUGGGCGCCUCCCUCCUCCCCGGCAACACCUCUCUCUCUCGCAGAAGCUUGGCGAAGCCCUGCCGGAGACCCGCUACAUCCACCACCACGCCGUCGUGCUGCUGGAUCUCCAUCAACCUCUCCUUCCCCCUUGAUGGAUCAAGAAGGAGGAGACGUCGCUGCACCGUACGUGUGUUGAACGCGGAGGUGCCGUCCGUUCGGCACUCGGUCAUCGGUGAUUUGGAUCACGGCGAGUACGACUCCGUCAUCCACGUUCAUUGGAACGCUUCCGCUCGCAAUCUACAAGGGUAUGUAGAUGCACUCCUUUCCCCUCGUUGCUAGUAGACUCCAUAGAUGCAUCUUGGUGAGCGUAGGAAAAUUUUAAAUUAUGCUACGAUUCCCAACAGUGGCAUCAUGAGCCAGGCCUAUGUGUAGUUACUAUGCACGAGUAGAACACAAAGCAGUUGUGGGCGUUGAGUUUGCCAAUUCUUCUUGCCGCUACUAGUCUUUUCUUGUUUCGGCGGCAUUGUAGGAUGAAGCGGCCCGGACCGACCUUACAUGUACACUUACGUGAGACAGGUUCCACCGACUGACAUGCACUAGAUGCAUAAGGUGGCUAGCGGGUGUCUGUCUCUCCUACUUUAGUCGGAACGGAUUCGAUGAAAAGGGUCCUUAUGAAGGGUAAAUAGAAAUUGGCAAAUCACGUUGUGGUCAUACGUAGGUAAGAAACGUUCUUGCUAGAAACCUACAAACCACGUAAAAACUUGCAACAACAAUUAGAGGACGUCUAACUUGUUUUUGCAGCAAGUGCUAUGUGAUGUGAUAUGGCCAGAAGAUGUGAUGAAUGAUAUAUGUGAUGUAUGAGAUUGAUCAUAUUCUUGUAAUAGGAAUCACGACUUGCAUGUCGAUGAGUAUGACAACCGGCAAGAGCCAUAGGAGUUGUCUUUAUUAUUUUGCAUGACCUGCGUGUCAUUGAAUAACGCCAUGUAAAUUACUUUACUUUGUUGCUAAACGCGUUAGCCAUAGAAGUAGAAGUAAUCAUUGGCGUGACGACUUCAUGAAGACACAAUGAUGGAGAUCAUGAUGAUGGAGAUCAUGGUGUCAUGCCGGUGACAAAGAUGAUCAUGGUGCCCCGAAGAUGGAGAUCAAAGGAGCAUAAUGAUAUUGGCCAUAUCAUGUCACUAUUUGAUUGCAUGUGAUGUUUAUCAUGUUUUUGCAUCUUAUUUGCUUAGAACGACGGUAGUAAGUAAGAUGAUCCCUUAUAAUAAUUUCAAGAAAGUGUUCACCCUAACUGUGCACCGUUGCAAAGGUUCGUUGUUUCGAAGCACCACGUGAUGAUCGGGUGUGAUAGAUUCUAACGUUCGAAUACAACGGGUGUUGACGAGCCUAGCAUGUACAGACAUGGCCUCGGAACACACGCAAUACACUUAGGUUGACUUGACGAGCCUAGCAUGUACAGACAUGGCCUCGGAACACGGAGGACCGAAAGGUCGAGCAUGAGUCGUAUAGAAGAUACGAUCAACAUGGAGAUGUUCACCGAUCUUGACUAGUCCGUCUCACGUGAUGAUCGGACACGGCCUAGUUAAACUCGGAUCAUGUUUCACUUAGAUGACUAGAGGGAUGUCUAUCUGAGUGGGAGUUCAUAAUCAGAUGAACUUCAUUAUCAUGAACAUAGUAAAAAAGGUAUUUGCAAAUUAUGUCAUAGCUUGCGCUUUAGUUCUACUGGUUAAGAUAUGUUCCUAGAGAAAAUUUAGUUGAAAGUUGGUAGUAGCAAUUAUGCGGACUGGGUCCGUAAACUGAGCAUUGUCCUCAUUGCUGCAGAAGGCUUAUGUCCUUAAUGCACCGCUCGGUGUGCUGAACCUCAGCGUCGUCUGUAGAUGUUACGAAACAUCUGACAUACACAUUUUGAUGACUACAUGAUAGUUCAAUGCGGUUUAGAAUUGAGGCACCAAAGACGUUUUUGAAAUGUCGCAGAACAUGUGAGAUGUUCCGAAGACUGAAAUUGGGAUUUCAGACCAGUGCCCACGUCAAGAGGUAUGAGACCUCUGACAAGUUUCUUAAGCCUGCAAACUAAGGGAGGAAAGCUCAAUCGUUGAGCGUGUGCUCAGAUUGUCUGAGUGCCACAAUCGCUUGAAUCGAGUGGGAGUUAAUCUCCCAGAUGAGAUAGUGAUAGUUCUCCAUAGUCACUGCCACCAAGCUAGUAGAGCUUCGUGAUGAACUAUAACAUAUCAAGGAUAGUUAUGAUGAUCCUUGAGCUAUUCGCGAUGUUUGACACCGCGAGAGUAGAAAUCAAGAAGGAGCAUCAAUUGUUGAUGGUUAGUAAAACCACUAGUUUAAGAAGGGCAAGGGCAAAAGGGAUACUUCAUGAAACAGCAAGUCAUUUGCUGCUCUAGUGAAGAAUCCCAAGGUUGAACCCAAACCCGAGACUAAGUGCUUCUGUAAUGAGAGGAACGGUCACUGAAGCAGUACUACCCUAGAUACUUGGUAGAUGAGAAGGCAGGCAAGGUCGACAGAAGUAUAUUGGAUAUACGUUACAUGAAUGUGUACUUUACUAGUACUCCUAGCAGCACCAGGGUAUUAGAUACCGGUUCGGUUGCUAAGUGUUAGUAACUCAAAAUAAAAGCUGCGGAAUAAAUGGAGACUAGCUAAAGGUGAGAUGACGAUAUGUGUUGGAAGUGUUUCCAAGGUUGAUGUGAUCAAGCAUCGCAUGCUCCCUCUACCAUCGAGAUUUGGUGUUUGCGUUGAACAUGAUUGGAUUAUGUUUACCGCAAAACGGUUAUUCAUUUAAGGAGAAUAAUGGUUACUCUGUUUAUUUGAAUAAUACCUUCAAUGGUCUUGCACCUAAAAUGAAUCUCGAUCGUAGUGAUACACAUGUUCAUGCCAAAAGAUAUAAGAUAGUAAUGAUAGUACCACAUACUUGUGGCACUGCCACUUGAGUCAUAUUGGUGUAGAACGCAUGAAGAAGCUCCAUGUAGGUGGAUCUUUGGACUCACUCGUUUUUGAAAAGAUUGAGACAUGCGAACCAUGUCUAUUGGUAUAUAUGCAUGAAGAAACUCCAUACAGAUGGAUCGUUUGGACUCACUUGAUUAUGAAUCACUUCAGACAUGCAAAUCAUACCACAUGGGCAAAAUGACUGAAAGUCCUCGUUUUCAGUGAGAUGGAACAAGAGAGCAACUUAUUGGAAGUAAUACAUUUUGAUGUACGCAGUCCAAUGAGUGCUGAGGCAUGCAGUGGAUAUCAUUAUGUUCUUACUUCACAGAUGAUUUGAGUAGAUGCUGAGUGUAUUUACUUGAUGAAACACUAGUCUGAAUUAUUGAAAGGUUCAAGUAAUUUCAGAGUGAAGUUGAAGAUCGUCGUGACAAGAGGAUAAAAUGUCUGUGAUAUGAUCAUAGAGAUGACUAUCUGAGAUACGAGUUUGGCACACAAUUGAGACAUUGUGGAAAGUGUUUCACAAUUAAUACCGCCUGGAACACCAUAGUGUGAUGGUGUGUCCGAACAUCAUAACUGCACCCUAUUGGAUAUAGUGCAUACCAUGAUGUUUCUUAUCAAAUUACCACUAUCGUUUAUGGGUUAGGCAUUAGAGACAACCGCAUUCACUUUAAAAGGGGCACCACGCAAUUCCGUUGAGACGACACCGUUUAUAGAAACCUAAGUUGUCGUUUCUUAAAAGUUUGGGGCUGCGAUGCUUAUGUGAAAAAGUUUCAGGCUGAUAAGCUCGAACCCAAAGUGGAUAAAUGCAUCUUCAUAGAAUACCCAAAAAUAGUUGGGUAUACCUCCUAUUUCAGAUCUGGAAGCAAAAGUAAUUGCUUCUAGAAACGAGUCAUUUCUCGAGGAAAAGUUUCUCUCGAAAGAAUUGAGUGGGAGGAUGGUGGAGACUUGAUAAGGUUAUUGAACCGUCGCUUCAACUAGUGUGUAGCAGGGCACAGGAAGUUGUUCCUGUGGCACCUACACCAAUUGAAGUGGAAGCUUAUGAUGGUGAUCAUGAAACUUCGGAUCAAGUCACUACCAAACCUCGUAGGACGACGAGGAUGCGCACUACUUCAGAGUAAUGCGUGAUCCUGCCUUGGAAGUCAUGUUGCUAGACAACUAUGAACCUACGAGCUAUGGAGAAGCGAUGGUGGGCCCAUAUUCCGACGAAUGGCUCGAGGCCAUGAAAUCCGAGAUAGAAUCCAUGUAUCAGAACAAACAUUGGACUUUGGUGAACUUGCCCGUUGAUCGGCAAGCCAUUGAGAUAAAUGGAUCUUAAGAAGAAGACGAACAUGGACGGUAAUGUUACCGUCUAUGAAGCUCGACUUGUGGCAAAGAGUAUUUUCACAAGUUCAAGGAGUUGACUACGAUGAGUUUUUCUCAUCCGUAGCGAUGCUUAGGUCCGUCGGAAUCAUGUUAGCAUUAGCUACAUUUAUGAAAUCUGGCAGAUGGAUGUCAAAACAAGUUUCCUUACCAGUUUUCGUAAGGAAAGGUUGUAUGUGAUACAAUCAGAAAGGUUUUGUCGAUCCUAAGGAUGCUAAAAGGUAUGCUAGCUCCAGCGAUCCUUCCAUGGAUUAGAGCAAGCAUCUCGGAGUCAGAAUAUACGCUUUGAUGGAGUGAUCAAAGUUUUUGGGUUUAUACAAAGUUUGUUAGAAUCUUGUAUUUACAAUAAAGUGAGUGGGAGCGCUACAACAUUUCUGAUAAGUAUAUGUGAAUGACAUAUUGUUGAUCCGAAAUGAUGUAAAAUUUCUGGAAAGCAUAAAGGGUUGUUUGAAAGGAGUUUUUCAAAGGAAGACCUGGAUAAAGCUACUUACAUAUUGGGCAUCAAGAUCCAUAGAGAUAGAUCAAGACGCCUGAUGAUACUUUCAAAAGACAGCACACCUUGACAUGAUUUUGAAAGAGUUCAAAAUAGAUCAGCAAAGAAGGAGUUCUUGGCGGUGUUACAAGGUGUGAGUAUUGAGUGAGACUCAAGACCUGACCACAGCAGAAGAUAGAGAAAGGACGAAGGUCGUCCCCUAUGCUUUAGACGUAGGCUCUAUAGUAUGCUAUGCUGUGUACCGCACAUGUAGUGUGCCUUGCCAUGAGUUGGUCAAGAGGGUACAAUGGUGAUCCGGGAAAGGAUCUCAUGACAGCGGUUGAACUUAUCCUUAGUACCUAGUGGAUUCAGGAAUUUUCUCGAUUAUGGAGGUGGAAAGGAGUUCGUCAUAAAGGGUUACGUCGAUGCGAACUUUGACACUAAUCCGGAUGACUCUGAGUAGUAAACCGGAUUCGUAUAGUAGAGCAAUUAUUUGAAAUGGCUCCAAAUAGCGCGUGGUAGCAUCCACAAAGAUGACAUAGAUAUUCGUAAAGCACACGGUUCUGAAAGGUUCAAACCCGUUGACUAAUAACCUCUCUCACAAGCAUAACAUGACCAAACCAGAACACAUUGAGUGAUAAUCACAUAGUGAUUUGGACUAGAUUGUUGACUCUAGUAAACUCUUUAGAUGUUGGUCACAUGGUGAUGUGACCAGUGAGUGUUAAUCACAUGGUGAUGUGAACUAGAUUAUUGACUCUAGUGCAAGUGGGAGACUGUUGGAAAUAUGCCCUAGAGGCAAUAAUAAAUUGGUUAUUAUUAUAUUUCCUUAUUCAUGAUAAUCGUUUAUUAUCCAUGCUAGAAUUGUAUUGAUAGGAAACUCAGAUACAUGUGUGGAUACAUAGACAACACCAUGUCCCUAGUAAGCCUCUAGUUGACUAGCUCGUUGAUCAAUAGAUGGUUAUGGUUUCCUGACCAUGGACAUUGGAUGUCGUUGAUAACGGGAUCACAUCAUUAGGAGAAUGAUGUGAUGGACAAGACCCAAUCCUAAGCAUAGCAUAAAAGAUCGUGUAGUUUCGUUUGCUAGAGCUUUUCCAAUGUCAAGUAUCUUUUCCUUAGACCAUGAGAUCGUGCAACUCCCGGAUACCGUAGGAGUGCUUUGGGUGUGCCAAACGUCACAACGUAACUGGGUGACUAUAAAGGUGCACUACGGGUCUCCGAAAGUGUCUGUUGGGUUGGCACGGAUCGAGACUGGGAUUUGUCACUCUGUGUGACGGAGAGGUAUCUCUGGGCCCACUCGGUAAUGCAUCAUCAUAAUGAGCUCAAUGUGACUAAGGCGUUAGUCACGGGAUCAUGCAUUGCGGUACGAGUAAAGAGACUUGCCGGUAACGAGAUUGAACAAGGUAUUGGGAUACCGACGAUCGAAUCUCGGGCAAGUAACAUACCGUUUGACAAAGGGAAUUGCAUACGGAUUGAUUGAAUCCUCGACACCGUGGUUCAUCCGAUGAGAUCAUCGUGGAACAUGUGGGAGCCAACAUGGGUAUCCAGAUCCCGCUGUUGGUUAUUGACCGGAGAGGCGUCUCGGUCAUGUCUGCAUGUCUCCCGAACCCGUAGGGUCUACACACUUAAGGUUCGGUGACGCUAGGGUUAUAGAGAUAUAUGUAUGCGGAAACCCGAAAGUUGUUCGGAGUCCCGGAUGAGAUCCCGGACGUCACGAGAGGUACCGGAAUGGUCCGGAGGUGAAGAAUUAUAUAUAGGAAGUCCAGUUUCGGCCACCGGGAAAGUUUCGGGGGUUACCGGUAUUGUACCGGGACCACCGGAAGGGUCCCGGGGGUCCACCGGGUGGGGCCACCUAUCCCGGAGGGCCCCGUGGGCUGAAAGUGGAAGGGAACCAGCCCCUAGUGGGCUGGGCGCCCCCCCAUGGGCCUCCCCCCAUGCGCCUAGGUUUGGGAACCCUAGGGUGGGGGGACUUCCCCCUUGCCUUGGGGGGCAAGCAACCCCUUGCCACCCCUUGGCCGCCGCCCCCCAACCCUAGAUGGGUUUGGGCCGGCCCCCCCUCCCAAGGGGUCCUAUAUAAAGGGGGAGGGAGGGCAGCAACAUACAGCCUUGGGCGCCUCCCUCCUCCCCGGCAACACCUCUCUCUCUCUCGCAGAAGCUUGGCGAAGCCCUGCCGGAGACCCGCUACAUCCACCACCACGCCGUCGUGCUGCUGGAUCUCCAUCAACCUCUCCUUCCCCCUUGCUGGAUCAAGAAGGAGGAGACGUCGCUGCACCGUACGUGUGUUGAAUGCGGAGGUGCCGUCCGUUCGGCACUCGGUCAUCGGUGAUUUGGAUCACGGCGAGUACGACUCCGUCAUCCACGUUCAUUGGAACGCUUCCGCUCGCGAUCUACAAGGGUAUGUAGAUGCACUCCUUUCCCCUCGUUGCUAGUAGACUCCAUAGAUGCAUCUUGGUGAGCGUAGGAAAAUUUUAAAUUAUGCUACGAUUCCCAACAACCCCACCCCUGGCCUGCAUGUCUUGCAUGAAAACUUCUCGGAAUCAGAAAUAAAAACAGCAUUCUUUAAAAUGAACCCGCAGGCCAGUCCUGGCCCAGAUGGUUUUGGGCCUGCGUUCUACCGAACAUACUGGCCCACCAUUAAAAGCUUCAUCCUCCCUUUCUUCUCACAAUUCUGUCAAGGCACGGCCGACACGGAAAGAUUAAACAGAGCUCACAUUGUUCUCCUCCCCAAAAAAGAUCAGCCUACUUCUCCAAACGCUUUCCGGCCCAUCUCGCUCCAAAAUUGCCCAAUCAAAGCUGUUGCCAAAGUCUUGACCACUCGCCUCAAGCCCUUCAUCCAGUUACUAGUGCAUGGCAAUCAGGCAGGGUUUAUACCAGGGAGGGAUAUAGCUGAGAAUUACAUAUUCGCCGCCGACCUCAUUAGCUCAUGCCACACUAGGAAAAAAACCUACUAUGGUUUUCAAACUAGACUUCAGGAAAGCUUUCGACUCGGUCGCUUGGCCUGCUCUGGACAAAAUCCUCCUCGCCCGGGGCUUCUCACACACCUUCCACAGCUGGAUCCAGAAUAUCCUAGUGACAGGCAAAACCGCCAUUCUUUUGAAUGGCAUCCCAGGCAACUGGAUAGACUGCAAAAAUGGCCUACGGCAGGGCGACCCCAUCUCCCCCUAUCUCUUCCUGAUCGUAGCAGACCUGCUCCAACAGCUUAUCUUCAAAAACACACACGCCUCGCUCCACCACCCCAUCUUCUCUCAUCUUCCACGCACCGUCCUCCAGUACGCAGACGAUACUCUGAUCGUUGUCGCCGCCUCGACUGAUGCCGCUGCCGCUCUAAAAGAAAUUCUAGCCAACUUCGCCAACGCCACUGGGUUAGCCAUAAACUUCUCCAAAACUACGAUCACAACCCUACACAUAGACGAUGUUGCUGCUAACGACACCGCCCUUGCCAUGGGCUGCUCUCGCACCUCCUUCCCCCAAACCUAUCUUGGCCUCCCUCUCUCCCCUACUAAACCUCCUUCCACUGUAUUCGACCCCAUCCUAGAACGCUCUCACAAGCUGUUGGCUGGCUGGCGAGCCAAGCUGCUUGACAAAGGCGACCGCCUCAUUCUUAUCUCCGCAGUCCUCAACUCCCUCCUCACCUACUUCAUGUCAGUCUUUCGUCUCCCCAAAAAAGUUUUAAAAACCAUCGACUCCAUUCGUAGAGCCUUCUUCUGGGAAGGUGAAGAUUCAGUUUCAUGUGCUCAAUGCCUUAUUGCAUGGAAAAACGUUUGCACUCCAAAAAAAUAUGGUGGUUUAGGUCUCAAAAACUUGCAUCUUCAGAAUAAUUGUCUGCUCAUGAAAUUUGCAGCCAAGGCACUCACCUCCUCCUCCACCCCCUGGAUGGACUGGUUGGAUCUUCAACACCCAAAUGCUUUAGUUUCACCCCCACCCCAAACCUCCUUCCUCUGUCGUGCCAUAGCACAGCAAAUACCAACACUCCAGUCCAUCACCUUCGUCCUAACAAACAGUGGGACACACACCUACUUUUGGCACGACACUUGGCUCACAUCAACAACUCCAGCUCACACUUACCCUCACCUAUUCUCACAUUCCACUCUUCCGCUGAUUAAGGUGGCUAAUGUGCUGCGCUAUGGUCUAGAAGCUAACCUCCGUAACCGUCUCUCCCUACUGGCAGAGCAAGAGCUUGUUGCGUUGUUGGCUGUUUUGCAGGAUUUCGUCCCUUCGGCUGAGGAAGACCAAAGGUUCCUAAUUCAGGGUCUUGCCUUCUCCACCAAGCAAGCGUACGACACUCUCAUGGCACGCCCGGACUGCGAUCCUCUCGCCCCCAUCAUUUGGCACUCCAAGGUUACACGCAAGAUUAAAAUCUUCACCUGGCUUCUCUUCAAGGAUCGGCUCAACACCGGAGCCAAUCUUGCACACAAGCAUAUCAUAUCCACGGACGUUUGUCCUCGCUGCACUAUGCUACCAGAGGACUCCUUGCAUCUCUUCCUCACCUACCCCCUUGCCAACCGUGUCUGGCAACGGCUAGGCAUCCUACCUCAAGCGGAGGGCAUCAUCGACCUUUGGGACGCGUCGAUUCCUCACAAACUGCCACACAAGGCCUGGCCUUUUAUUCUCAUGUCUCUCCUCUGGAAGAUAUGGGUUGCAAGAAAUGAUAUGGUGUUUAGGAACAUUGAUCAACGUUCUGUAAUAACUGUGACGCCCCCGAUUCAAUCGUGCACAAAUCAUACACGCAAACGUGUACGAUCAAGAUCAGGGACUCACGGGAAGAUAUCACAACACAACUCUAAAAAUAAAAUAAGUCAUACAAGCAUCAUAAUACAAGCCAGGGGCCUCGAGGGCUCGAAUACAAGUGCUCGAUCAUAGACGAGUCAGCGGAAGCAACAAUAUCUGAGUACAGACAUAAGUUAAACAAGUUUGCCUUAAGAAGGCUAGCACAAACUGGGAUAUAGAUCGAAAGAGGCGUAGGCCUCCUGCCUGGGAUCCUCCUAAACUACUCCUGGUCGUCGUCAGCGGCCUGCACGUAGUAGUAGGCACCUCUAGUGUAGUACGAGUCAUCGUCGACGGUGGCGUCUGGCUCCUGGGCUCCAGCAUCUGGUUGCGACAACCAGGAAGAAACAAUAGGGGGAAAGGGGGGAGCAAAGCAACCGUGAGUACUCAUCCAAAGUACUCGCAAGCAAGGAUAUACACUACAUAUGCAUGGGUAUAUGUGUAAAGGGGCCAUAUCGAUGGACUGAACUGCAGAAUGCCAGAAUAAGAGGGGGAUAGCUAAUCCUGUCGAAGACUACGCUUCUGGCAGCCUCCAUCUUGCAGCAUGUAGAAGAGAGUAGGUGGUAAGUUCACCAAGUAUCAUCGCAUAGCAUAAUCCUACCCGACAAUCCUCUCCUCGUCGACCUGUGAGAGAGCGAUCACUGGGUUGUAUCUGGCACUUGGAAGGGUGUGUUUUAUUAAGUAUCCGGUUCUAGUUGUCAUAAGGUCAAGGUACAACUCCGGGUCGUCCUUUUAUCGAGGGACACGGCUAUUCGAAUAGAUAAACUUCCCUGCAGGGGUGCACCACAUUACCCAACACGCUCGAUCCCCUUUGGCCGGACACACUUUCCUGGGUCAUGCCCGGCCUCGGAAGAUCAACACAUCGCAGCCCCACCUAGGCACAACAGAGAGGUCAGCACGCCGGUCUAAAUCCUAUGCACGCAGGGGUCUGGGCCCAUCGCCCAUUGCACACCUGCAUGUUGCGAACGCGGCCGGAAGCAAACCUAGCCCCCUUAAUACAAGCGCAGGCUUACGGUCUAAUCCGGCGCGCGCCGCUCAGUCGCUGACGUCAAGAAGGCUUCGGCUGAUACCAUGACGUCGAGUGCCCAUAAUUGUUCCUACGUAGUUGGUUAGUGCGUAUAGGCCAGUGGCCAGACUCGGAUCAAAUACCAAGAUAUCAUUAAGCGUGUUAUUUUGAAGUAACCGCGAACGCCGACAGGGCCAGGCCCACCUCUCACCUAGGUAGUCUCAACCUGCCCUGUCGCUCCGCCACAAAGAUCCACCCAGAGGGCCGUCGGGACAAAGGUCCUUUCAGCCCCCAAUCCGUGAAUCACUCGCGGGUACUCUACGAGCCGACCCGACUUUAGUCACCACAUGUAUCAUGUAUAAAGUAUAUAGUAUAUACCCGUGAUCACCUCCCGAGUGAUCACGGCCCGAUAGUAUAGCACAGCAGACGGACAAGAAUGUAGGGCCAAUGAUGGAAUACUAGCAUCCUAUACUAAGCAUUUAGGAUUGCAGGUAAAGGUAACAACAGUAGUAGCAAGGGCAGGCUAUGCAUCAGGAUAGGAUAAACGGAAAGCAGUAACAUGCUACACUACUCUAAUGCAAGCAGUAGAGAGAAGAAUAGGCGAUGUCUGGUGAUCAGGGGGGCUUGCCUGCAAGCCCAGCCGAGAAGGAGGGGUCAUUAACACCGUAGUCGUACUGGGUAGCAGCGGCGUCGGGGCGGCCUUGGUCGAUCCGACCACGGAGCUAGACGGUGGGGAUGAGGAGGCAACGGCGACGUGGCUUCAUUAGCAGAGUUUCACUGUAGCUUAAUUAUCCGGGCGUUACAAAUCUCCUCCACUACAAGAAAUCCCGUCCCGAGAUUUAGGAGGUAGAAGGAAACAGCGCGGGGUCCUCGUGUUCCCAAGUGGCUUCAUCUUCAGAAUGGUGCGACCACUGGACCUUGAGGAACUUGAUCGCCUUCUGACGUGUUCGGCGUUCAGCUUGGUCGAGAAUGCGGACUGGAUGCUCUUUAUAGGAGAGGACCUAUUGCAAUUCGAGCACUUCACGAUCCACUGCUCGGAUUGGGUCCUUGAAGCAAUGGCGGAGCUGUGACACGUGGAACACAUCGUGAACCUGAGAAAGGUUCGACGGAAGCUCCAGUUGAUAUGCCACUUUUCCACGCCUUUCCAGAAUAGUGAAUGGACCAAUAUAGCGAGGAGCUAGCUUGCCCUUGAUUCCAAAGCGGUGAGCACCCUUCAUUGGUGUGACUCUAAGAUAAGCCUUUUCGCCAGGUUGAUAGACCAUGUCUUUAUGAUGACGGUCAUACUGACUCUUCUGACGCGACUGAGCAGUCUUGAGAUUCUCGCGAAUAAUGCAGACUUGUUCUUCAGCAUGUUGGAUAAUAUCCGGACCGAAGAGUGGACGUUCCCCAGUUUCUGACCAGUUCAGAGGGGUUCGGCACUUUCGUCCAUAUAAUACUUUGAAGGGGGCCAUCUUCAGACUAGCUUGAUAGCUAUUGUUAUAGGAGAACUCAGCAUACAGGAGAGAUUCCUCCCAUUUCUUGCCGAAGGAAAUAACACAAGCUCGAAGCAUGUCUUCGAGAACUUGGUUGACGCGUUCAACUUGCCCUUGCAACUGAGGAUGAAACGCAGUACUGAACGACAGAUGAGUUCCCAUAGCUUCUUGGAAACUUGCCCAGAAUCUUGAAGUGAACAAGCUACCACGGUCCAAACUGAUAACUAGUGGAAUACCGUGAAGUGAAACAAUUCUGGACAUGUAGAGAGUUGCAAGCUGACUAGCAGUGAUCGUUUCUUUGACAGCCAGAAAAUGGGCAACUUUAGAAAGCCGGUCAAUGAUGACAAGAAUAACAUCAUUACCUUUCUGCGAUUUGGGAAAUCCAGUGACGAAGUCCAUCUCGACAUGGUCCCAUUUCCAUUCAGGAAUAGAGAUAGGUUGCAGAGUUCCAGCAGGCCUUUGAUGUUCUGCUUUGAUACGACGGCAAACCUCACACUCGGCAACAUAACGAGCAAUGUCUUGCUUCAUAUUAGACCACCAGCAUCUAUGAGGAAUGUCUUGGUACAUCUUGGUGCUACCGGGAUGAAUAGACAAAGGCGUAUCAUGAGCUUCUUUCAUAACCUCCUGUGUCAUAUCUAGGUUUUCCUCUAAACAUGGCACCACUAGGCGGACCUUUAAGUACAAGGUGCCAUCAUCAGCAAUAGUGAAGAAUGAGGGCUUUCCUUCUGCGAGGUAGCGCUUAAUCUUGUGGGCUUGAGAGUCAUACUUCUGCAGCGUUUUGAUGCUGUCCACGAGAUCUGGUUUAGCAACCAGGGUAUUGAGAGAACCCUAGGUAACAACAUGGAGGUUCAUCUUACGACACUCAGGAGGAGGGGGAGCGAGUGCACUAGGAGGAACAAUAUGGAGGUUCAGCUUUCUGAAUUCUUCAACAAGCGAGGGAUGAACUUUGUGAACCUGGAGGUGGUUGCAGUAAGACUUGCGGCUCAAGGCAUCAGCCAUUACAUUAGCCUUGCCUGGUGUAUAGGAAAUACCCAAGUCAAAGUCUGCAACAAUAUCCAUCCAUCUCUGCUGACGGAGGUUCAGGUCUGGCUGAGUAAACAAAUACUUCAGACUUUGGUGGUCGGUGAAGAUCUCGCAACGAUUACUGAGAAGGUAAUGUCGCCACUGUUUUAGCGCAUGAAUGACAGCAGCAAGCUCGAGGUUGUGAACUGGGUAGUUCUCUUCGUGAGGGCGCAAUUGCCGAGAGGCAUAAGCAAUCACUUUGUGCUCUUGCAUUAGGACACAGCCUAAUCCUUGACGAGAAGCGUCGCAGUAAAUGACGAAGUCCUUCUUAGUAUCAGGUGGAGCAAGCACUGGGGCAGAACUCAACUUGUCUUUGAGUGCCUGGAAACUUUCCUGACAAUUGUCUGUCCAUUGGAACUUGACACCCUUAUGCAAUAGGUUAGUCAGAGGCCUAGCGAUCUUGGAGAAGUUCUUGACGAAUCGACGGCAAUAGCUGGCGAGUCCGAGAAAACUUCUGACUUGCUUGACAUUCUUCGGAGGAGUCCAAUCGAGAAUAGCCUGAAAUUGCUCGGGGUUGACGGCAAUACCAUCCUUGGAGAUGACAUGCCCAAGAUAGGUUACUUCGGGAAGCCAGAAUUCACACUUGGAGAACUUGGCAUAUAGCCGAUGCUCUCGUAGAUUUUCCAGCACAAGACGAAGAUGUUCAGCAUGUUCCUCUUUGUUCUUGGAAAAUACCAGGAUAUCAUCCAGAUAAACCACGACGAACUUGUCAAGGUAUUCCAUGAAUAUAUAGUUCAUCAGACGAGAGAAGGUGGCUAGAGCAUUGGUCAAGCCGAAUGACAUGACGGUGUACUCGUAUGAACCAUAUCGAGUCACGAAGGCGGUCUUUGGGAUAUCCUCUUCACGAACACGGAUCUGGUGGUAACCCAACCUCAAGUCGAGUUUAGAGAACACUGAUGGACCAGCCAGUUGAUCAUACAGAUCAUUGAUCCGAGGAAGAGGAUAUUUAUUCUGAAUGGUAGCUUGGUUUAUAGGACGGUAGUCUUGGACUAAUCGGUUUGUCCCAUCCUUCUUCUUGACAAAGAGAGAAGGUGCUCCCCAAGGAGAGCAACUUGGGCGAAUGAAACCUUUGCGAAGAGAUUUUUCGAUUUCCUCCUUAAGCUCAAUGAGUUCAUGCGGCGGCAUCUUGUAGGGUCGUUUGGCUAUAGGAGUGGUGCCUGGUUUCAAGUCAAUGAUGAAUUCGACAGCUCUAGCAGGGGGAAUCCCUGGAAGUUCUUCAGGAAAGACGUCCUGGUAUUCGCGAACGACAGGAAUGUUUUCAAUGCCCUCGAGUGGUGCAGCGUUCAAUGCAUUCAACGCAUAAAGCCUUGCCUCGUCAUUCUGAACCAAACGAGCAUUGUAGCUUAUUAUUUCAUCGGAAGGGUGUAGCAGAUAGACGGUCAUAGUGGCGCAAACUAUAGAAGCAGUAUGCGCUUUCAACCAAUCCAUUCCCAGAAUGAGAUCAAUGCUACAGUACUUCAGUAUGAUGGGAGAGACAAGGAAUUCCAGUCCUUCGAUUUCAAUGAGAACGUCGUGACUAACCAUAGAGGUUUGACAUUGGCCCGCAGGGGUGUGUACCACUAGCGGAGUGUUCAUCUCUUCGUAUUUAAUGCCAUGCAUGAAUGCAAAUUCUGCUGAUAUGAAUGAAUGUGAUGCUCCUAUAUCAAAUAAAACAGAUGCAGGUACUAAAUUAACGAGGAGUGUACCCAUCACAGUAGCAGGCUGGUCUUGAGCUUCGUUGAGAUCAACGUGGUUGGCAUGAACACGACCAUAAGACUUGGCAUUGUUGUUGCGGGGCUAGUUGUUUCCACGGCCAGCUGCGGGAAGGGCCAGUUGAUUCUGAUUCUGAUAGCAGCUCCUGGCAAGGUGACCUGGUUGACCACACUUGUAGCACAAACCAUUAUUGGGAGUGGGAACAGGAUCUUGGGGUGGUGGAGCUGGAAGUCUUGGCUGCCUAGAUGGUGGGGGAGGCAGACGCGGUGCAGCAUAAGACUGCUUUGGAGCAGGUGCAUUUGGACGGUACAUGUUGUUCGGGAUCCACAUCUUACGCUUCUGCGAGGGCGGGCCCGAAGAUGAGCCCGUGUCACGGUUGCGCCUGUGAGAGCUCUGGUGUUCCUGCAGACCAGUCUCGACAUUGAUGGCCUUGUUCACCAAGGUGGCGAAAUCGGCAAAGUCAUGCACUAGUAGUGCGAGCUUGAUGUCAGCUUGUAGUCCAUCAUGGAACUUCUCCUGUUUGCGAGCAUCAGUUGCAAUGUCCUCUUCAGCAUAGCAGGACAAGUCUAGAAAUUCCCGCUGAUAAGCUUCGACAGUUUUGUUGCCCUGGGUGAGGUUGCGGAACUCACGCUUCUUCCGGUCCAUGACUCCCUGAGGAAUGAACCGGGCACGGAAAGCGGCUUGGAAAUCUGGCUAGGUGAUGAUUGUUCCAACCGGUAGAGUACGCAUGUGGCUAUCCCACCAUUGGGCAGCGGGUCCCUUUAGAAAGAAGGAAGCAAAGGUGACAUAGCGGGCAGGGGCUACAUCAGCAGACUCCAUCUCAUAGGUGAUGUCACGGAGCCAGUCAUCAGCAUCCAGAGGCUGAGUUGAGCUACGGUAGACGGUUGGGUUGAGGUGCAUGAAAUCCUGCAGAGUCACUUGGGCUGGCUGCUGGUUCAUAUUGGGGCGAGGGAACUGAGCCAUCAUAUUCUCCAUGAACUGGCGAUUCAUCUCAAGUUGUUGGAUCAUACCAGCCAUGUACUUAGGCGGUGGUGGGGCGUUGCCACCAUGACCACAACCACCUAGUCUAACCAUCCCGCUAAUAUAUAACAGGGGUAGUUCAGCAUUGGGAAAUUUGCAAAGACAAGAAUCAUUCAUGAUGAAACAUGCAUAAUAAAGGAGCACGGUAGAUACUACAUAGUAGUCGGCAUAUCUUAAAAAAGGGAUCAUGCAUAGAGUUCGGUACACAGAGUUCAGUACAUAGACUAAAGACAUCAUAGGCGGCACGCAGGCUCGCAACGAAGGCACCUAAUACUAAUUAGCAAGUCCACAUCAGUACCAGGAGGAACUGUGGAGGUAGGUGUAGCCUGACAGCUGGUAGUGACGUGACGGGAAGUCCUCCACGUCAGUAGCCUGGGGUCCGCGGAUACUCUGGUGCAGAACCCGACGCUCAGGUGGCAGAAGAGGACCAAGUGCGGGAGAGUAGCCCCCCACAUCUGGCCAGCCGACACCUUGGGGCAUCACGGUCCUGGCUGGGUAGAUCGCAGAACGCGGCAGAUCAUCAAAUCGGACAAGGGGGUGCAACCGCAUCAGAGCACGGUAAAGGUGCUGACGGGUGGUGUACAACUCGUGGUGAAGAGCUCGGUUAGCUCGAUCCAGCCCAUCAGCAUGCAGAACCAAGUUCUGAUGGUAGAAGGGCUCUCGGGUGACCGUGGAGUAGGCAGCAGUGUAGUAUCCCUCCGCACCAACAUCGGAUGCGAUAGCAAUGUGCCUGAAAGGGGAAGUGUCCAACGCCCAAUACUCUCCACGAAGACGUGUCAGAGCAGCACAAGCAGCAUCGUGGACUGCCAUAUCGAUGGUCACUCCAACACCUUGAGCAGUGUGCAGCACAGUAGUGGAGUCAUACUCCCGAGAGUAGAGGUGGACGAUGGCACGGUACUGCUCCUGGUUAAAGUCCUGGUACUCCUCGUAGACGGUGUACUCAGGGUGCCAGCCAUAACCUAGAUAGGUCAUCAUCUCAGCUAGCACAGCAGGUGAUCCUGAGGCACCAAUGGCCGUCGUGUGGUGCACGACCUGCCUCAUGGGUUCCAUCUGAAAGCAAAGAUGUUUCAAAGGAGUCAAAUGACAGUGUGGGUAUUGUUCAAAAUACUAUUCUAAGGAAUAACUAUGGCUUAUCCAACUUUGGGGUGAAUGUGGUCACGAGAUCCUAAUGUUAGAGUUAGUAAAUUCGUUUAACCCGAGUAGAAGAGAGUUCAGAGUCCCGGAGUAAAGAUCGAGGAGUAAAAGAUCCUAGUACCACCCAAAUGGCGACGUGGGCCCGUAUGACACACAGCCAUGUUAGUAAAAGUUUUGUAAUUGCUAGACUCGACUUCGGCCAAGGAGUGUGGAAGGGGAUUCCUACAGGCAGUCGGCUCUGAUACCAACUUGUGACGCCCCCGAUUCAAUCUUACAGUAAUCAUACACGCAAACGUGUAUGAUCAAGAUCAUGGACUCACGGGUAGAUAUCACAACACAACUCUAAAAAUAAAAUAAGUCAUACAAGCAUCAUAAUACAAGCCAGGGGCCUCGAGGGCUCGAAUACAAGUGCUCGAUCAUAGACGAGUCAGCGAAAGCAACAAUAUCUGAGUACAGACAUAAGUUAAACAAGUUUGCCUUAAGAAGGCUAGCACAAACUGGGAUACAGAUCGAAAGAGGCGCAGGCCUCCUGCCUGGGAUCCUCCUAAACUACUCCUGGUCGUCGUCAGCGGCCUGCACGUAGUAGUAGGCACCUCCAGUGUAGUAGGAGUCAUCGUUGACGGUGGCAUCUGGCUCCUGGGCUCCAGCAUCUGGUUGCGACAACCAGGAAGAAAGAAAAGGGGGGAAAGGGGGAGCAAAGCAACCGUGAGUACUCAUCCAAAGUACUCGCAAGCAAGGAUCUACACUACAUAUGCAUGGGUAUAUGUGUAAAGGGGCCAUAUCGGUGGACUGGACUGCAGAAUGCCAGAAUAAGAGGGGGAUAGCUAAUCAUGUCGAAGACUACGCUUCUGGCAGCCUCCAUCUUGCAGCAUGUAGAAGAGAGUAGAUGGUAAGUUCACCAAGUAUCAUCGCAUAGCAUAAUCCUACCCGACAAUCCUCUCCUCGUCGACCUGUGAGAGAGCGAUCACCGGGUUGUAUCUGGCACUUGGAAGGGUGUGUUUUAUUAAGUAUCCCAUUCUCGUUGUCAUAAGGUCAAGGUACAACUCCGAGUCAUCCUUUUACCGAGGGACACGGCUAUUCGAAUAGAUAAACUUCCCUGCAGGGGUGCACCACAUUACCCAACACGCUCGAUCCCCUUUGGCCGGACACACUUUCCUGGGUCAUGCCCGGCCUCGGAGGAUCAACACGUCGCAGCCCCACCUAGGCACAACAGAGAGGUCAGCACGCCGGUCUAAAUCCUAUGCGCGCAGGGGUCUCGGCCCAUCGCCCAUUGCACACCUGCACGUUGCGAACGCGGCCGGAAGCAGACCUAGCCCCCUUAAUACAAGCGCAGGCUUACAGUCCAAUCCGGCGCGCGCCGCUCAGUCGCUGACGUCAAGAAGGCUUCGGCUGAUACCACGACGUCGAGUGCCCAUAACUGUUCCCGUGUAGUUGGUUAGUGCGUAUAGGCCAGUGGCCAGACUCAGAUCAAAUACCAAGAUCUCGUUAAGCGUGUUAUUUUGAAGUAACCGCGAACGCCGACAGGGCCAGGCCCACCUCUCACCUAGGUAGUCUCAACCUGCCCUGUCGCUCCGCCACAAAGAUCCACCCAGAGGGCCGUCGGGACAAAGGUCCUUUCAGCCCCCAAUCCGUGAAUCACUCGCGGGUACUCUACGAACCGACCCGACUUUAGUCACCACAUAUAUCAUGUAUAAAGUAUAUAGUAUAUACUCGUGAUCACCUCCCGAGUGAUCACGGCCCGAUAGUAUAGCACAGCAGACGGACAAGAAUGUAGGGCCGAUGAUGGAAUACUAGCAUCCUAUACUAAGCAUUUAGGAUUGCAGGUAAAAGUAACAAUAGUAGUAGCAAGGGCAGGCUAUGCAUCACGAUAGGAUAAAUGGAAAGCAGUAACAUGCUACACUACUCUAAUGCAAGUAGUAGAGAGAAGAAUAGGCGAUAUCUGGUGAUCAGGGGGGGCUUGCCUGGAAGCUCAGCCGAGAAGGAGGGGUCGUCAACACCUUAGUCGUACUGGGUAGCAGCGGCGUUGGGGCGGCCUUGGUCGAUCCGGCCACGGAGCUAGACGGCGGGGAUGAGGAGGCAAUGGCGACGUGGCUUCAUUAGCAGAGUUUCACUGUAGCUUAAUUAUCCGGGCGUUACAAUAACCCUAAGAGCCCUCAUCUCCGACCUAGACCUUUGGUCACAUCGUCUCAUGGAAACAUGCGGCAAGGAGGACGUCUCCUCGUGGCGUUCUGUAACACCCCGCAUGUAACUUGCCAUAUUUGUAACUCCGACUCUUGCCAUUUCCGGCUAUGUGUUAUGAUUUUCCCUCCGUUGUCGGGUUUUGUCUUUUGUUUUGUAUUUUGUCAUGUCAUGCAUUUUCAUAUCAUGUCAUCAUGUGCAUUGCAUUUGCAUACGUGUUCGUCUCAUGCAUCCGAGCAUUUUCCCCGUUGUCCGUUUUGCAAUCCGGCGCUCCUAUCUCCUCCGGUGCACCCCUUUCGUUUUCUUUCGUGUGCGGGUGUCAAACUUUCUCGGAAUGGACCGAGGCCUUUCAAGUGGCCUCAAUAUACCACCCGGAGACCACCGGUCAAGUUUCGUUCCAUUUGGAGGUCGUUUGGUACUCCAACGGUUAACCGGGUAUCUGCAAAGUCCAUUUGAGUGUCCAGCAAAAAACCCCUCAAAAACCAGCCCAAACCCACCAAACUCUCUUCCAUACUCUAGGUCGUUCGAUCACGAUCGUGUGGGCGAAAACCGCACCUCAUUUGGAGCCUCCUAGCUUCCUCUACCUAUAAAUAUGUGAGACUCCCGAAAUACAAUCGCAGUCCAAACCCUACCCUUCUUCCACCUCGCGCCCGGACAAAAAUCCUCCGCCGCCGGACGUGUCCGCGCCGCCACCUGUCCCUGCCGCCGUCGUUCCCACAGCGAGCCCAUAUCCGGCCCGCGGGGCCCGAAUCCCNNNNNNNNNNNNNNNNNNNNNNNNNNNNNNNNNNNNNNNNNNNNNNNNNNNNNNNNNNNNNNNNNNNNNNNNNNNNNNNNNNNNNNNNNNNNNNNNNNNNNNNNNNNNNNNNNNNNNNNNNNNNNNNNNNNNNNNNNNNNNNNNNNNNNNNNNNNNNNNNNNNNNNNNNNNNNNNNNNNNNNNNNNNNNGGUCGCCGGCGCCGCCCCCGCCGCCGCCGCCGUCGCACCUCUUCCCCGCGCCGGCGUCCUCUCCCUCCGGCCACCCGCCUCCUUUCUCUCUCCCGUCGCCGGCCCGAGCUCCUCGAGCUCCUGUGUUGCUCCCGAUCCAGAUCCGCACUGUAGAGGUUGACUCCCGUAUCCCUUUUUUUCUGUCUGGAAUUUUUACAGCAAUAUGCCUCUGUUCGUGAUGCCAUAACUCCUUGCAUGUAGCUCCGAUUCGUGCGUGUAAUCUGUAAAAUUGUUCGUCUCGUGAUGCUCUUCAUUUUGUUCAAUUGCACCAUGUUCAUUAGAGGUCAUCUUGAUGCCCAAAUCUCUGUUGGAAGAGGGCUAGUUGCUGUUAUUCUCUGGUUCUUAUCAGAACUUGGAGAUUUGUCAUUUUUGUAUCAUUAAAUCUGUGCAUCUUUUGGGCAUGAUCUCUACAUGUGUUUUGAAGCAUGCCAUGCCAUCUUUCCAGUGGUGUAGUCCAUGUAUUUUUUUGAUCUCUGUGGUGACUAGCACAAGCAUGCAAAGUAGGCCCCGUAAUAUUUCCGAUUUCAGGGACUUGGUGAUUUCUCCAAGUCCUUGUCUGCUGUUAUUUUGUUGCCAUGAAAACUUGAUGCUACAGACAGAUCCAUGCAUAUUUUGGAGAUGUUCAGUAAGUAUGUUUUGUAGAUAUAGUUGUAAUUGAUCCAUUCCUGCAAUUGCUUGCAAUUAUGGAGGGCCAUAGCAUGACUCAAUCUUGCUCUACUUUUGCUAUAAAAUAUUUCUGGCAGAUUCUUAACAUGAUAUGCAAUUUUGCCAAGCUUAUUGUAGUUGAUCCUUACAUGCUAUGCUUUUGUUCUUGCCAUGGUUAGCUUCAUCAACAUGCCAUAUUUAUGUAGGUGUGCUUGGUUUGUAGUGCAUUGCUCUGUAGUGAGUGCAUCAAGCUCACAAAGAGGCCUACAUAUUAUUAUUUCUGCCAUGCUCUGUUUUCUGCUAAGUCUGAAACCUGAUAACGAAACUUGCUAUGUUUACAUGCUUGCCAUCAUAUCUUAUGGUCCUUUUUGGUUAAUGGUCAGUAAGAGACUUUUGUCAUGUGCAUUUAGUAGAACACUACCAUUCCUUGUUUUGCUAUAAUAAGUUCCUGUAGCAUGUUGAUUUCGUGCUCUAUAACAUUGCUACCUGAUGCUGUUUUUCUGCCAUGUCCAGUUUUUCACCAAGUCUGUGAACCUGUUAUCUUUUGCACGUUUGCCAUGCUUGUUUGAGCUUGAUAUGUUGUGAACUAUCCGUAGCUCAGUGUUCAUCUUUUGUCAAGCAUCUCCUGUAGAUUACUUCCAUGUGCUUUGUUGCUAUGUUGGAGUGUUGUAGCAUUGUUACUUGUUGCAUUUUAAGUGCUAUCUUGCUGUUAAUCGCAGAUUCGUGUCAUUCUUGUUUUGCUUGCCAUUUGCAAACCGUGCAUCCGAUUCCGGUGAUCUUUAUAUCGAUUUCGACCGAAAUCAUCCCAUCUUUCCAUUGGCAUGCUUGGUUUGCCAAGUUACUGCCAUGUUCAUCAUUUUUCCGUCCGGAGCACGCAUAUGCAUCGCAUAUCAUAUCUUGCAUAUCAUACAUGUUUUGCAUCAUGUUGAUUGUGCAUUUCUCGUGAUUGAUUGUGGUUCCGUUUGCUUGUGUUCUUGCCUUGGGUAGAUCCGGGAGACGAGUUCGUGAACGAGGAACCUGUUGAGUACGCUUACGAGGAUCAAGCUUUCGACAACUCUGAGAACCUUGCAGGCAAGAUGACCACCCCUCGAAAUCACUUCUAUCUUUGCUUUGCUAGUUGUUCGCUCUUUUGCCAUGCUCCGCUACCUAUCACAUGCUAUAUCAUGUCUCCCAUUUUUCCAUGUCAGCCUCUAACCAUCAUUUCCUAGCAAACCGUUGUUUGGCUAAGUCACCGCUUUUGCUCAGCCCCUCUUAUAGCGUUACUAGUUGCAGGUGAAGUUGAAGUUUGUUCCAUGUUGGAACAUGGAUAUGUUGGGAUAUCACAAUAUCUCUUAUUUAAUUAAUGUAUCUAUAUAUUUGGUAAAGGGUGGAAGGCUCGGCCUUAUGCCUGGUGUUUUGUUCCACUCUUGCCGCCCUAGUUACUGAUAUACCGGGAUUAUGUUCCUUGAGUUUGCGUUCCUUACACGGUCGGGUGAUUUAUGGGACCCCCUUGACAGUUCACCUUGAAUAAAACUCCUCCAGCAAGGCCCAACCUUGGUUUUACCAUUUGCGACCUAUGCCUUUUUCCCCCGGGUUUUCUAGAGCCCGAGGGUCAUCUUUAUUUUAAACCCCCGGGCCAGUGCUCCUCUGAGUAUUGGUCCAAACUGUCAGUCGCCGGUGGCCACCAGGGGCAACUCUGGGCUGGCCUAUCGGAAGCUUGGACAAUCCGGUGUGCCCUGAGAACGAGAUAUGUGCAGCUCCUAUCGGGAUUUGUCGGCACAUUCGGGCGGCUUUGCUGGUCUUGUUUUACCAUUGUCGAGAUGUCUUGUAAACCGGGAUUCCGAGACUGAUCGGGUCUUUCCGGGAGAAGGUUUAUCCUUCGUUGACCGUGAGAGCUUAUGAUGGGCUAAGUUGGGACACCCCUGCAGGGUAUUAUCUUUCGAAAGUCGUGCCCGCGGUUAUGAGGCAGAUGGGAAUUUGUUAAUGUCCGGUUAUAGAGAACUUGUCACUUGACCCAAUUAAAAUACAUCAACUGCGUGUGUAGCCAUGAUGGUCUCUUCUCGGCGGAGUCCGGGAAGUGAACACGGUCUGAGUUAUGUUUGACGCAAGUAGGUGUUCAGGAUCACUUCUUGGUCAUUGCUAGAUGACGUUCGUUCCGUUGCUUCUCUUCUCGCUCUCAUUUGCGCAAGUUAGCCACCAUAUAUGCUUUUGCCGUUGCAGCUCCACCUCACUACACCAUCCUUUCCUACUAGCUUAAAUAGUCUUGAUCUCGCGGGUGUGAGAUUGCUGAGUCCCCGUGACUCACAGAUUCUACCAAAACAGUUGCAGGUGCCGACGAUGCCAGUGCAGAUGAUGGCGUCGAUCUCAAGUGGGAGUUCGACGAGGAACGUGGUCGUUACUAUGUGUCUUUUCCUGAUGAUCAGUAGUUGAGCCCAGUUGGGACGAUCGGGGAUCUAGCAUUUGGGGUUGUCUUAUUUUCAUUUGGAUUUUGACCGUAGUCGGUCUAUAUGUUUGUAUUUUGGAUGAUGUAUGAUUAAUAUUUAUGUAUUGUGUGAAGUGGCGAUUGUAAGCCAACUCUUUAUCCCAUUCUUGUUCAUUACAUGGGAUUGUGUGAAGAUGACCCUUCUUGCGACAAAACCACUAUGCGGUUAUGCCUCUAAGUCAUGCCUCGACACGUGGGAGAUAUAGCCGCAUCGUGGGCGUUACACGUUCCUACCUCUCUGCACGCUGCGUCGUGCCUUUGUAAUUCUGUACUUGCUGCCACGGCGGCUUUUNNNNNNNNNNNNNNNNNNNNNNNNNNNNNNNNNNNNNNNNNNNNNNNNNNNNNNNNNNNNNNNNNNNNNNNNNNNNNNNNNNNNNNNNNNNNNNNNNNNNNNNNNNNNNNNNNNNNNNNNNNNNNNNNNNNNNNNNNNNNNNNNNNNNNNNNNNNNNNNNNNNNNNNAAAAACGUCUAGAUACAUUCGUUUCAGCGACAACUAGUGUGGAUCGCAGGGAGUACCCAAUUAUAUAAAUUUUGCUAUAUGGCCAUUGAAUGAUCACUAGGAUUUCAAGUUGUCCAGUGCAAUUUGCUCUCAACAAGCUGGAUAUAUAAGAGGCUAAGAAUCUGGAUCUUCAUUCAUCGCACACCCCUGUAAUACCAAUUAGAUGAUGAAAGCAACAUAUUUUCAGAGAGAUGGAUGGUCAAAGUAGGACUGUGUCAAUGUGCAGAUAUUUUGGAACAAAGGGGGUUGUCGUGGAAUUGUCACCGGAGAUGUCCUCGAGCUAGGACUUAGUCGUGAAGCCAUCGCUACUAGGAAGCUUGAAGGGGUUAUGCGGGACAAGGAACACGAGGGUUAUACUGGUUCGGCCCCUUACGGUGAAGGUAAAAGCCUACGUCCAGUCUGCGGUGAUAUUGAUUAGGGUUACGAUCGCCAAGAGCUAGUCAGCUAUGCCCGGCUCUCGAUGAGAUUGUUCUCUCUCUUAAACCGCUGCCGGGUCGUCCCUUUAUAUAGGGAGGAAGACGCCCAGCAGCCCUUAGAGUCCCGGCCGGCUCAUAAGAGUGUCCGGCUCGGACUCUAAACUAAACUUGCCUUAAGCCGCAAGUUCUACUAUAAUAAUGAUUGUAACUACGGGCCUUAAGCUAUAUCCGGGUCUCAGCCCAUCUCUGGCCCAUCGUCUUGAAACUUGGCUCCGGGCUUCAGGCAACGACCGUACGAGUAACCCGGCCCCUCCUGGCGGGUGACUCUAAGGUCUAUAUCCUCAACAUUAGGCCCCAGAUUGAUUUGAGCCGGCUCACGUCAAUCUUCAACUCUUCUGACAGAAAAAAUCUCCGGCUUACCAUCUAUGUGAAGGCCAUAACCCGGAGUGACGUCAUCCUCUGGACUCUGGAUAAUCCGCCGUGACGUCAUCCUCCAUUAAGUCCGUUUUUUACUCCGCCAGAUCCGCAACGGAUCUUUGCUUUUACUGUCAUUCCGAAAAUCGAGGCGUCGUGAGGGGGAGAUAACCACGCCGUGGUUCCCUUGAAUCUCGCGCCCACUUAUGACCUCACCUUAUAAAUAGGCCAGCCCAACAGGUUCUUCUCACGCUCUCUUCUUCCUCCUCGCGUCGUCGCUCCUCUGCCAAAGCUCUACCACUGCCGCCGCCGUCGCGCCCCUGGUCUUCAUCAACCCGGCCGCUGCAUCACCCUGACUCGGACCAGAUAAACGGCGGCGACCUCCGCUCUUCUCCAACUCCGGUGAGUCUCCUUUACCCUGUCAGAUAGAUCUACCGUAGGGUUUGUCUGUGUUCUUCACGUUCAUCGCUAUCGCCACAAACCUCAGUAGUUCUCAUAGUCAUUGUACUUGAUUGAUCUCUAACCUUGCAUAGAACUAGUGCGGUAGUUGUCUUAAGCCUCAUUUCAAGUACCAGUAGAUCUCCUUCCACUGUACAGAUGCUUCGUUCGAGCUCAAGAAUAUCCGCUCGUCUGUUUCUAGGUCUAGAAAGUUUUCAUUUCACCCGACCAUUUUGAUCCAAAAAAGUUACUGCCAUAUGUGAAACCUGUUUUACCACACUUAGUAAAAACUGCAACUAUUGAAUCUUGGCGGCUUACAUUUCCGGCUUAAAGAAAACACGCGCCGUAGAACUUUCCGGUUUAAAGAAAACCAUGCUCUGUAGAAUCCUCCGGCUUAACUGUAGUAAAUAACCAAUUUACUCUGAAUCCCCCUGCGGCUUAAACAACCCACCGUAUCUAAAUAUAUAUCAUUAGUCCCCUUCAUAAGCCGCCAUCUUAGUUUGAAUGAUAGAUCUCCGGCUUAUAAUUAACCCGGACACUUUUCUCUUUAUCAUAGACCACCAACCUUCACCAUGCCUCCCAAGGCUCCCAUCACUUGCAACUGGAUGAGAUCCAACGUCACCGACGAGACCCUGGCCAAUUUCGUUAAGUCCGGAUAUUUUCCUAAGAAGGAAAUCAUGUCCUACCGUGCCCCUGACCCGUCGGAAGAGAGACCACAGCCAAGGGACGGGGAGGUAGUGAUCUUCGCAGACCAUAUGAGCCGGGGCUUCGCACCGCCUGGCUCAAAGUUUUUCAGGGACGUGCUCAACUUCUUUGACUUACGGCCUCAGGAUAUAGGACCCAACUCCGUAUCCAACAUCUGCAACUUCCAGGUCUUUUGCGAAGUGUACCUUGGAGAAGAGCCCAGUUUGCUGCUUUUCAGAGAACUGUUCUACUUAAACCGCCAAAAUGAGUGUGCCAAUGGGCCAAGUCUGGAGUUAGGCGGCAUCUCCAUCCAGCGGCGUAGGGACUGUCUGUUCCCUUACGCAGAGCCGCCAAGCCACCCCAAGGACUGGAAUAUGACUUGGUUCUACUGCCAAGAUACGUCCCCGGCUGACGAGAAUCCGCUGCCUGGCUUUCGCCCAACACGUCUAGAGCCGACUCAUCCGCUGUCGGACAAACUGACUGCAGCGGAACGCCAACCUCUGCUUCCAACCAUCAAUAAGAUCAAGGCCCUACUAGGCAACGGUCUGAACGGGAUUGACCUGGUCCGGGUCUGGAUCUCAUGGCGGGUGAUCCCAUUGAGCCGCCGCCCCAGCUUAAUGUGUGAGUACACCGGGCGAAAAGAUGACCCGCAGAGGCACAGUCGCAAUGAUCUUCCAGAAGAUGUUGCAGAGGAAGAGACCAAGGCUCUAUUAAACGAGAGUCUAGCAGACUGUGGAAGGACCGGGCUAGCGCCCUUCUGCAAGACCAAUCCAGCCCCAGCGGUAAGCCGCUGACUUUAACCUUUCAAUUUCUUCUGCAUGUAACCUUGAUCUGAACUGUUUUAAGAAUCAAUCAUUGUAUCCUUCAGGCUGAUGACAAAUUCUGGUAGGUCAAAUAUGACCAUGAAGCGGCCAAGAAGACCAGGAAGGCGAAGAAAGCCGCCAAGAAAGCCGCCCCUCGCAAAAAGGGAAGCAGACCCACUGCUUCGGAGCUAAUGCAAUUAAGCGACAGCUCCGAGUCAGAGGUAACCCUUAAACCUUUAAAUUUUUGUUAUAUUUGUUGUUUGUUGCUGUCUUCCUUAUCAACACUUUGCUCAUUGACAGGAUGACACCGGCGCCAGUAACCCGGUGGUUGAAGAGGUAACAUCACUUUCCUCCGGCUCGGAGCCCUUGCCACAGCUGAAAGUCCGAAGGGUAACCCGGAAAGUAAGCUUUUCUCAUCCUUUAGCUCAUCAAGACCCUCAAUUUCCUUUGAAGCAGCAGGUUCACGAAAGUCGGCGUCACACCCGGGCCCGCAAGGACACCGACCUCUCCGUCGGGUUACCCGACGCAACAAGGAAGCGUCGCACUGAGGUUUUCUUUUCUCACUUGUACCCUUUUCAUCCGUUGGCGGGUGUUAUCCGUCAGCCACUCAACUCUUCUGACUCCAAUUAUCUGGAGACCUCCCCCUCUUCGGGUGACUCCAUGCAGUCAAAUCUGCCGGCCUUCAAGACUGCACCCGGGUAAUAACAAUCUCCUUACAUUAUCUUGUCUGUACUUACUCGUUGUGUGCCUAACACUUCUGUCUUUUUAGUGCCCAGGCAAAGCUCACCAAACGGGCGAAGAAGACCAGAUCAGCCGGAGUGCCAGACUUACCUGACCCGGAGGCGACGGCUCAAGAGCCGCCAGCUGCCUCCGCCCCCGAAGCCACCACUCCAAAGAAUACGGCGCCUGAGGCCCCUGCCCCGACUACCAAGACAACGACCGAAGCUUCGGUUAACCCGGAGGCCUCCGGCUCAGCUCCACCAGCAGACGACCCGGACGUGGUAAUCACCCGGACGGAAUUCGUUGAGCCGGGGAGACCGACCGUGUUGGCCCAAUGCUCCGCGAAGGGGGAGUUACUGCAGCCCCACCGGGUGAACCUGGACCUCUCCGGCUACACCGACUUGAGCAUUGGAGAGCUCGUCUCCGGCUACAUCAAUCAAGUCCACAAGAGCCGGGACGCCGAGGUCGCCAUGGUCAACCAGAUCCAACAAAAAUCUGAGGUAUCCUUCUGCUGCCGUCUUAUUUACUGCAUAGUUACCUUUGCCAUGCUAGCCCCCAAGUCAACGACUUAUGCUUGAAUAUGUUGUACACUUAGGUUCCGGCUUACUCAACUGAGCCGGCAAUAUGUAGAUAGAUACGUUCAAUAUGCAUUAGCCCCCAAAUGCCAAGUGUCUUUGCUUGGAAAGCGCUUAGGACUUAUAUAAUGACUGUUAAUAACCCGGAAAUAUAUGCAGGCUGUUGGCAAGAAAUUAGAGGCGGAUCUUGCGGAUCUCAAGAGCCGGCUGAAAAUGCAGGAGAUGGAGACCCGGAAGGCAAACGCCAAGUUUGUAUCCAGCAUCGCCACUUACGAAAAAUUGAAGACCGAGUUUGAUGCUGAGAGGAAAGCCUGGGUCGAAGAGAAGGCCGCACUGGUGACCCGGGCGGAACAGGCGGAGAAGGCUCUCGCUGAGAAGACCGCCGAGCUCUCCGGCCUAAAGCGCCAGGUUUCCCAAAUGGUGGCUGCUAUCUUUGGUAAGUCACCUCACCGGCUUUCAUCAAGUAUGUAUAUAUCAUGAUUCAUCCUUGUCACCGGCUUAUCUGAUCUUGUUAAACAGGUCCCAGGAGUGCCAACCUCAAUCAGAGCGUGGUCACCAAAUUAAAGGUCGUGUACACCCUGGUGGAACAGCUCUACACCGGGUCACAGCGUGCCUUAGCUGUGGUGGCCCUAUCCAACGAGGUGCCAACUCAUCUGGUCAAAGUCCUGCGCCGGCUCGCUGUUCUGCCACAGCGGAUCCAGGAGCUACGACGAGCCUCUGCGAAAGCCGGAGCAAUCGCCGCGCUGAGCCGGGCCAAAGCAUUCCUGCCGGAGCUAGACCCGGCAGACAUCACCCUGGGUUAUCCAAGCCUGAAGGAAGACGGCUCAGCCUUCGACCAGAGGGACUUCGCGGCGUGUGUGAAGGCUGUACGCCCGGUGGCCACCAUCAUCGGGAACGACACCGACUUAACCAAGUACCAGCCGGGUUACGAUGCGGAGAAUCGGAGGAUUCCAACCCCUCGCUAUGAAGCUCUCAAUCUGAUUCCUCCGGCUCGUCAGCACACCUUCGCCCCGGAGAUUGACCCGGCCGGGUUAAUUGAUGAAGAAGCCCAGUUCGAAACUCUCAGCGGCAUUGACUGGAAAUCAUCCACCUUCGAGGUCUUAGGUUCAGCCGGAGGAGAAGACAGGAAUGAGCCGGGGACUUCAACCCAGCAGGCAUCAUAGUUUAACUGGCGGGUUACCAAACAUUGUUCCACCUUUUAAACUUGAGGAGUUAUUGUAAUAGAGUAGGCGCAACAAUUUAUCUCUGCCGUGCCAUCGUGCACGUUUUGAAUGCGAAAGCCCUUUGAAUUUGUCUCUUUGAUGCUUCUCCGGGUCAUAAUCCUUCCAUUGCUUUUCUUAACCUCAAAAGGUGCUUUUAAGUUUCUGCAUAUAAAAGCAAAUCACAAAUCUCGAGGCGACUUACCGCCCUGAGAUUCAGGUGUUUAAGAUAAAUAACCCGGAAUAUGAAUUAAAAAAGACUGGUCCUUGAUUACACUCUGAACAUAGCCGUAACAAUCACACUUAUCAGCCUGUAAGUAUACUUCCGGUUGAAAGAACCCGGUGCAGUAAGUUGACGCCAAAAUUAAGCCGGCACGUGAAACACGGCCAUGCACACCUCAGAGUAAACUUGUGAAAAAGCAGAAGAACUUAGGGGCUUCCGGUUCGAAUACGACCAGAGACCCGGCCCCAAGGGGUUAAGCUAAGAUUCGGAUACGACCAUAUAGCCCCCAGUGGGUGUGGCGAUGCCAAUCAAGAGGGUACCGACAGCUAUGUUCUCUUUGGUUCGAAUACGACCCAUGUUUGAACAGGAAGCCCCCAAGUGAUUCUUAAAAUUGUUUAACGACGCUGAUUCGAAUACGAUCCACGUCGGUUCUCAGAGGGGUUAAACUAUGAUUCAAAUAUGACCAAAGGCAACCUCCCAAUGAGCUCGGCACUUUGCCAAUCAAAUGGGUAUCGACAGCUAUGUUCUCUUUGGUUCGAAUACGACCCAUGUUUGAACAGGAAGCCCCCAAGUGACUUUAUUGCUUACGGCUAGAUUCGAAUACGAUCAUAAGCCGGAUCCUCCUUUAGCAUGUAAUCUUGUAAUAAAAACAACACACGCAUAUUUGGAGGAGAAAAAAGGACAGAGGUCCUGCUUUAUUGCUUAUUAUAAUAUAUACAUGGCUGAGAUGAAUAUGUACACCACGAGAGCCGGUAGUUCAAGUGUAGUAAGGCCGAAGCUGAGCUAUGUUCCACGGCCGACGGGUCUCUUCCUCAGACUUACGUGAAUCUUUGUGCUCCCGAAUGUCAAUGAGGUAAUAUGACCCGUUGUGCAAAUUCUUUCUGACCACAAAAGGCCCUUCCCAAGGUGGGGAUAACUUAUGUGCAUCUGUUUGAUCCUGGAUGAGCCGGAGCACAAGGUCGCCUUCCUGGAAGACCCGGGAUUUGACCCGGCAGCUAUGAUAACGGCGCAGGUCUUGUUGGUAAAUCGCUGAACGGGUUGCUGCCACAUCACGCUGUUCGUCCAACAAGUCCACAGCAUCUUGGCGCGCCUGUUCAUUAUCCGUCUCAACAUAAGCCGCCACGCGAGGCGAAUCGUGACGGAUGUCGCUGGGCAGGACUGCUUCUGCUCCAUAAACCAUGAAGAAAGGCGUGAAGCCUGUAGACCUGUUAGGAGUAGUGUUGAUGCUCCAUAAAACGGAGGGCAACUCCUCCACCCAACAACCCGGCGUCCGUUGCAAAGGGACCAAAAGCCGGGGCUUGAUGCCCUUCAGAAUUUCCUGGUUAGCUCUUUCAGCUUGACCAUUGGAUUGAGGAUGAGCCACUGAAGAAACAUCAAGCCGGAUAUGCUCUCGUUGACAAAACUCUUCCAUGGCGCCUUUGGAGAGAUUGGUGCCGUUGUCAGUUAUAAUGUUGUGCGGAAAACCAAAGCGAAAAAUCACCUUUUUCAUAAAUUGAACCGCCGUGGCUGCAUCACACUUGCUGACUGGCUCAGCUUCCACCCACUUUGUGAAUUUGUCAACUGCCACCAAGAGGUGGGUCUUCUUAUCCUUGGACCGUUUAAAAGGCCCAACCAUAUCAAGCCCCCAGACCGCAAAGGGCCAAGUGAUUGGGAUCAUCCUCAAUUCCUGAGCCGGCACGUGAGCCCAUCGUGAGAACCUUUGGCAACCAUCCAUUUACUGACCAAGUCUUCUGCAUCAGCAUGAGCUGUCAACCAAUAAAUACCAUGACGGAAAGCCUUGGCUACAAGGGAUUUUGAGCCGGCAUGAUGGCCACAAUCCCCUUCAUGGAUCUCCCGCAAGAUCUCUUGGCCUUCCUCAGGGGAAAUACAACGUUGAAAUGCCCCUGAAACACUGCGAUGAUGUAACUCGCCAUCGAUGACGAUCAUCGACUUAGCCCGCCGGGUUAUUUGCCUGGCCAGGGUUUCAUCCUCAGGCAACUCUCCCCGGGUUAUAUAAGCCAGAUAUGGCAUUGUCCAGUCUGGUAUGACAUGAAGAGCCGCCACCAGUCGUGCCUCCGGGUCAGGGAUAGCCAAGUCCUCCUCUGUAGGCAACUUAACCGAGGGGUUAUACAGGACAUCCAGGAAAGUGUUAGGCGGCACCGGCUUUCGCUGAGAGCCUAGCCGGCUUAAAGCAUCAGCCGCCUCGUUCUUUCUGCGAUCAAUGUGCUCCACUUGGUAUCCCUGAAAGUGCCCAGCAAUGGCAUCAACCUCGCGGCGAUAAGCCGACAUGAGAGGAUCCUUAGAAUCCCAGGUGCCUAACACUUGUUGAGCCACCAAGUCCGAGUCACCAAAGCACCUUACCCGGCUUAAGCUCAUCUCCUUAGCCACCCGAAGACCGUGGAGCAAAGCCUCGUAUUCAGCCGCAUUGUUAGUGCAAGGAAACAUCAGCUGUAGCACAUAAUGGAACUUGUCACCCUUAGGGGAAGCCAAUACCACGCCAGCCACCGAGCCCUCCAGCUGUCUGGACCCAUCAAAGUGAAUAGUCCAAUAAGUGUUAUCCGGCUUUUGCUCAGGCACUUGUGACUCUGUCCAAUCAUUGAUGAAAUCCACCAAGGCCUGAGAUUUAACAGCAGUGCGUGGCACAUAUUUGAGGCCAUGAGGUCCAAGUUCGAUAGCCCACUUAGCAAUUCUCCCUGUGGUCUCUCUGUUUUGAAUAAUAUCACCAAGAGGGGCAGAACUGACCACAGUGAUGGGAUGACCCUAAAAAUAAUGCUUAAGCUUCCGGCUCGCCAUGAACACACCAUACACAAGCUUCUGCUAAUGCGGGUACCGCUGCUUGGACUCAAUGAGCACUUCGCUGACAUAAUAAACCGGCCGCUGAACCGGAUGCUCCUUACCCGCCUCCUUGCGCUCCACCACAACAGCCAUGCUGACAGUUCGCGCGUUCGCCGCCACAUAUAGUAGCAAGGGCUCCUUAUCAACCGGAGCAGCAAGGACGGGGGGCUCUGCCAGCUGCUUUUUCAAAUCCUCAAAAGCGGUAUUAGCUGCAUCACUCCAGACAAAGUUAUCAGUUUUCUUCAUCAACUGAUAUAAGGGCAUAGCCUUCUCACCCAAACGGCUUAUAAACCGGCUUAAAGCAGCGAUGCGACCCACCAAGCGCUGAACGUCAUUUAUACACGCCGGCUUAGCUAGGGAGGUGAUGGCCUUGAUCUUCUCCGGGUUAGCCUCAAUACCUCUGUCAGAAACCAAGAAACCCAAUAGUUUGCCUGCAGGAACACCAAAAACACACUUGGUCGGGUUAAGCAUCAUCUUAUAGACCCGAAGAUUGUCAAAGGUUUCUCUUAAGUCAUCUAUCAGGGUUUCCUCCUUGAGGGAUUUAACCACAAUAUCAUCCACGUAAGCGUGAACAUUGCGCCCGAUCUGUUUAUGAAGACAGUUCUGUACACAGCGCUGGUAAGUCGCCUGUGCACACUUGAGUCCAAAGGGCAUAGACACAUAGCAGAAGGCUCCAAAGGGAGUGAUGAAUGCCGUCUUCUCCUGGUCCUUAACCGCCAUCUUAAUCUAAUGAUACCCGGAAUAAGCAUCCAAGAAACUUAAGCGUGCACAACCCGCCGUAGCAUCAAUGAUUUGAUCAAUACGGGGGAGGGCAAAAGGAUCAGCCGGACACACCUUGUUCAAGUCCGUGUAGUCCACACACAUCCGCCAGGUGCUGUUCUUCUUGAGUACGAGCACCGGGUUAGCCAACCAUUCUGGGUGAAAAACUUCAACAAUAAACCCGGCCGCCAAGAGCCGGGCCACUUCUUCACCAAUGGCCUUCCGCCUCUCCUCAUUAAACCGUCGAAGGAACUGUCUGACCGGCUUAAAUUUUGGAUCAACAUUGAGAGUAUGCUCAGCGAGUUCUCUAGGUACACCUGGCAUGUCAGAAGGUUUCCAUGCGAAGAUGUCCCUAUUCUCACGGAUGAACUCGAUGAGCGCGCUUUCCUAUUUUGGAUCCAGAUUGGCACUGAUGCUAAACUGCUGAGAUGAAUCUCCUGGAACAAUAUCAACAAGCUUAGUUUCAUCAGCCGACUUAAAUUUCAUUGCCGGCUCAGUCUCCGUAGUCGGCUUCUUCAGAGAGGUCAUGUCUAUUGGGUCAACAUUGUCUUUGUAAAACUUCAGCUCCUCUGUAGCACAAACAGACUCUGCAUAAGCUGCAUCACCUUCCUCACACUCCAGAGCCACCUUCCGGCUGCCGUGAACCGUAAUGGUCCCAUUGUGACCCGGCAUCUUGAGCUGUAAGUACACAUAACACGGCCGUGCCAUGAACUUGGCGUAAGCCGGCCGUCCAAAUAUAGCAUGGUAUGGACUUCUUAUCUUGACCACCUCAAAGGUCAAUUUCUCCACCCUGUAGUUGUUCUCAUCACCAAAAGCCACUUCCAACUCGAUCUUGCCGACUGGAUAAGCCGACUUACCAGGUACCACACCAUGGAAGAUAGUGUUUGACUGGCUGAGGUUCUUAUCAACCAGCCCCAUACGGCGAAAAGUCUCAUAAUAGAGGAUGUUGAUGCUGCUGCCUCCAUCCAUGAGCACCUUUGUGAACUUACAACCUCCCACCUGAGGAGCCACCACUAAGGCCAAGUGGCCUGGGUUAUCCACCUGGGGAGGGUGAUCCUCCCUACUCCAUACUAUAGGCUGCUCAGACCACCGCAGGUAGCGUGGAACCGCCGGCUCAACAGCAUUCACAGCCCUCUUGUGAAGCUUCUGAUCUCGUUUGCACAAACUAGUGGUGAACACAUGAUACUGUCCACCGCUAAGCUACUUUGGGUUGGUCUGAUAACCCCCCUGCUGCUGUUGAUGACCCUGACCAGACUGUUGAUUGAAGCCCCCUUGACCGCUCUGAGGACCGGAAUUUGAGCCGCCGCCCGGGCCAUGAAAGCCGCCGGCGCCUGAGCCGCCGCCCGGGCCAUUGUAGCUCUUAAAGGCCUUCAUGAUCGUGCAAUCCUUCCACAGAUGAGUCGCUGGUUUCUCUCUAGAGCCACGCCUCGGGAAGGGGUCCUCCCCUUGCGUCGCUGGUUAUUACUUUGGGAGUUGGCGUUGGCUACAAACUCUAGGCUGCCAUCGGCCUUACGCUUGCCUCCUCCUUGGUUCCCCGGGUUAAACUGAGGACCCUUGCCAUUGCCGUUCUUCUUUCCCUUCCCAGUCCUUUCAUCGUCUGAAGGGGGAUCCUUGGUACCAUCGGAAUCGGCGUAUUUGACAAGAGCCGCCAUUAGUGUACCCAUAUCAGUGCAGUCACGUUUAAGCCGCCCGAGUUUCAUCUUUAGGGGCACAAAGCGACAGUUUUGUUCCAACAUUAAGACUGCAGAGCCGGCGUCCAUCUUAUCCGAUGAGUGUAUGAUCUCCUUGACCCGGCGAACCCAAUGGGUCGUGGAUUCACCCUCUUGCUGCUUACAGUUAGUCAGAUCCACAAUUGACAUAGACUGCCUACAGGUAUCUUUGAAGUUUUGAAUGAACCGGGCUUUCAGCUCAGCCCAAGACCCAAUGGAGUUCGGUGGUAGCCCUUUCAACCACGUGCGGGCAGUUCCAUCUAACAUCAUGGUGAAAUAUUUGGCCAUGGCUGCCUCACUGACCUCCAGCAAUUCCAUAGCCAUCUCAUAACUCUCAACCCAGGCUGCAGGCUGUAAGUCAGCUGUAUAGUUAGGUACCUUCCUGGGGCCCUUGAAGUCCUUAGGUAGACGUUCAUUACGGAUAGCUGGCACCAAGCAAGGGACACCCCCGGUCCUGGUAGGGAUACCCACAUCAACGGAAGUCGUCGGAUAAGCCGGGGGGGUCUGGUAAGCCGUCAACUGAGGCACCUGCUCCGCCUCUUGCCGUGCUUGGUCUGCUGCGUAAAAGGCUCCAUUAUGAGCCGGGCCAUGGCCAGGGGGCGGGUCAUGGCGUCGGACAUUACUUGAGCCGGUUGCUGAGGCCAUGUGACGGCUGUAACUCGGGCUCUAGCCUGGACGAGGGGUCGAGUGGAUCAUGUCCCGGCUGUAGGAGUACGCCUCUUGCUGUGCCAGUGCCGUCUGCAGGAGUUCCCUGACCCGGUGGGUUUCGAUGGCCGCUGGAGAGUCGCCGUCAACGGGGAGAGCCGCCAGUCGUGCUGCCGCAGCUACCAUGUUCUCCAGCGGGUUAUCAUAAUGACCCGGGGGUAUUGGCACGUAUUGAGGCGGGGCAGGGGGCACCUGGGGAGGCCCCAUCACCCGUGGCUGAAUGAGGGGUCCAGACCCGGGCGCGAUGACCCCUGGCGGGUUACUGGACCCUGCACCUGGCGUGUUGAAGAGAUUGCGUGGAUCGUAAACCGGCGGGAGUCGAGACUGGGCCUUCUGAUGCCUCCUUCUCAUGACCUCGUUGGCCGCCUUCUGAUCCAUCGUGAGUUGGAAGGACUGCGCUUGAAACAGCUGAGUCCGGGCGUCGAGAGCCGCCCGCUCCGCAGCCAGCCUGAUCCCUUCCGCUGCAAGAUCCUCUUUAGCUUUUAUCAACUCCAGUUUUAACUGUGCCACUUCCGCAUCAUGCUGAGCUUGAUUCGCCGGGUCAACCAUGGCGGUUAACAGGGCCGUCAUCUUGUCCGUGAGAUCCAUCAGCACCUGAGCCGGAGAAGGCACCGGGUUUCCCGAUCCAGCAGCGGGGUUUUGAACAGGCUGCGCACCAGCCAUAAAAAUUCCAAUCUGACUUGGCGGCUCAAAAAGGUCCGGAAUACUGUCGCCAUCGGAACAACCCAUGAGCCUGCCAUCUUGAAGUUGGUACAAAGAGUUUGAUUCAUCGGUGGCCGACUCGCUGUCAGAGCCGGCGGCCGCCUCAUCACCAGACCCAGAUGGAUCAAAGGGCCCUCCAUGGAUGCAUCCCACAAAGGCGCGCCUUAAGGCAGGCCGGGCCCGGGCGGGUCGUGCACGCUGAGCCGUUUCGGUGAGAUCGGUGCAGAGACCCGGCUCGGGGCCCGGCUCGCCAAUCUUGCCGAUGAAGACAUGAAUUCCGCCAAAGGGGACCCGGUACCCGUACUCAAUUGAGCCGGCGUCGGGGCCCCAGUCCGCAUCGUCGAUGUAGAGCUUGCCGCGACGACUCUUGGUCAUCCGGCCCACAGCGUAUCCCUUGAGCCCUUCGAAGCUGCCCUUAAGAACUCAAAUCCACCGUGCGCUGGCCCCACGGUGGGCGCCAACUGUCGUGGAAUUGUCACGGCAGAUGUCCUCGAGCUAGGACUUAGUCGUGGAGCCAUCGCUACUAGGAAGCUUGAAGGGGUUAUGCGGGACAAGGAACACGAGGGUUAUACUGGUUCGGCCCCUUACGGUGAAGGUAAAAGCCUACGUCCAGUCUGCGGUGAUAUUGAUUAGGGUUACGAUCACCAAGAGCUAGUCAGCUAUGCCCGGCUCUCGAUGAGAUUGUUCUCUCUCUUAAACCGCUGUCGGGUCGUCCCUUUAUAUAGGGAGGAAGACGCCCAGCAGCCCUUAGAGUCCCGGCCGGCUCAUAAGAGUGUCCGGCUCGGACUCUAAACUAAACUUGCCUUAAGCCGCAAGUUCUACUAUAAUAAUGAUUGUAACUACGGGCCUUAAGCUAUAUCCGGGUCUCAGCCCAUCUCUGGCCCAUCGUCUUGAAACUUGGCUCCGGGCUUCAGGCAACGACCGUACGAGUAACCCGGCCCCUCCUGGCGGGUGACUCUAAGGUCUAUAUCCUCAACAGGGGUGUUUAUAUCUUGGAAGGCCAAAAGUUCAAACCUCUUGUGGCGGCCAAAUUGGAAAACCGAACCAUUAGCUGCAUGAUGUAUAGAUGGAAAUCAGAUUAUUCUGUUUUUUGGAAGAAGAAAGAGGCACAAAUUUAAAAAUUGCAACCUAUUGACAAAAUGAAGUGCGCAGCACCUCGAUGCUGAAAAAAAAAGUGGGAGUUCCUUCCUGAGCAAUGAUGGUAGACCCAGAUCCUACUUGGCGCUUCAGGCAGUAUUUCCUUAGCUAUUUCCUUAGAGCAAACUGGGGCGGCCCAUAAACGUGAAGAGCGUUACCUUCUGGCCAGUUUUUAGGAAGCUUCCAGAAGCUUUUCAAACACUUUUUCUCCUUUUUAUGUUCUUUCUUUUUUAUUUUCGUUUUUUCUUUUACUUUUUCCUUGUUUAAAAUGCGUCAAGUUUUUCUUAAAUUUGCAAAAAAAACCUUAAAUUCAUGAACUUAUUUCAAAUUUGUGAAGUUUUUUCCUCAAAAAAGUGAACUUUUCAAAAUUGCUAACAUUUUCCCAAAUUUGUGAUUUUUUUUAAAUCUGCAAAACACGUUAAUUUUUUCUCUAAUUUAUAAACUUCUUUCAAAUUUGUGUAGUUCUAUCAAACUCAUGAACAUUUUUUCAAAGGUCAAGGAUAAGUCGAUAGUCAAUGGUCUACGAUGAUUCAUGAACUUUUUUUUCAAAUCCACGAUUUUUUUUCAAAUUGGUGAACUUUGUUUGUAUUCACAAACCUUUUAGAUUUUUUUUGAAUUUUUUGAUUUCACAAAGUUUUGAAAAUUCCUAUUUUUAAAAAAUUAAUUGCCGACUUUAUUGGGGAUUUUAUUUCGAAAUCAACGGUCAAACCGGUGAACUGAUCGAGUAUGCAACCGAGCGCGUGCGUGCGCGGCGGGNNNNNNNNNNNNNNNNNNNNNNNNNNNNNNNNNNNNNNNNNNNNNNNNNNNNNNNNNNNNNNNNNNNNNNNNNNNNNNNNNNNNNNNNNNNNNNNNNNNNNNNNNNNNNNNNNNNNNNNNNNNNNNNNNNNNNNNNNNNNNNNNNNNNNNNNNNNNNNNNNNNNNNNNNNNNNNNNNNNNNNNNNNNNNNNNNNNNNNNNNNNNNNNNNNNNNNNNNNNNNNNNNNNNNNNNNNNNNNNNNNNNNNNNNNNNNACAAGAUCGGAGGUCUCAAGGUUGACAUGGUAAAUUGGGACGUGGACGUUUGGUCUAUGGGUGUAUAUACACUCUAUAUGAAAAUAAAAUUAAUAACUAAACAAAAAGCCAAAAAAAACUGAAAAUGUUUUUGAAACAAGCUUGACCUCCAAUUGUACGUGUAAAAAAAUUCCACAAAAAAUAACCCUUUGACUUGUUUUAAAAAAAUCAGCCAAAAUAGUGUGGAUAGUGACUUAUAAUAGCAAAUAAUUUUGGUUUUUGAUUUUGCCCUGAAGUGAACGCUGGUUUUUUAUUCGUGGAAUUUUAUAUGCUAGUGCCAAAGAAAGUCAAGUUAAUUCUUAAAAAAUUCUGAAAUGUUUCUAUUUUUUGUAAUUAUUAAAGAAAAUCUCAUAUAGGGUGUAAUUACAACCAGAAACCGAGGGGUAUUUGCCUGGUAAAUUUGUUCAACCGAUUGAAUGCUGAAUGAACUACCCACCCUAUCAUAAACAAACGGGCCUUUUUACACCUGAGAAAAAAUACUACUGGGCCAAGUAAAAGCGCUGUCGGCCCACAGCCCGUCCCGCCGGCCCUCGUCCAUUCGCACGCCGCACCUUUUCACCGCAGUCUCACUCUCUCCUCAGAUUCAGAAGCAGCGGCAUCUCCAUCACCGUCGCCGUCGCCGCCGCCGCCGCCGCGCCUCCACUGAGUGCCGCCCUAGCCUGCGCGCCUCUCCUCGAGCCUGGCCUCCGCCGUCCCCGUGCACGCCCACGAGCCUCCCGCCACCGGGCCCAGUCCUCCUUCCUAGGUAGGUAAGCACGCACGCACCCUGCAUCUCCGGCGGUUGAUGGCUGAUUAUCCUUUAUUAUGUGCGCGGGUGCCCUUCUGCUAGAUCCAUUUCAGUGUCCGCUAUGAUUGUUUGUGCCAUGCGACGAUCUUGGUCUUAGCAUGAUCAGAGGAAACCAAUUUUCAGCUGUCCAUUGUUUGCUAUAUGCUGCUCGGUUCAGGGCAGGCUCGUGUGUUAUACUCGCUAGUGUCUGAGGCUGUGGCACAGCAAUAUAUCCAUGUCCACAUUUUAGAUGUACACUUGGUGAAAGUAGAGGGUGUCACAGCAGUGUAUAUGCAACUGCAGAUGUUAGAUCCAUGCUUGCUGAAAGUAGGGGCAACGGCAUAGCAGUAUGUGCAUGUGCGGAUCUUAGAUUUGUUAUAGUUGGUGAAUGUAGAGGCACUGCCAGGAAUUGUUUUCUUAGUGCGCCCCUGAAAUUCUGAGCUGCAUGCCGCUUCGCAGUGGCGUGCCGUGCUUUCUAAUCCACGUAGUACUUACGUCCCAUGUCUUCUGAGAUCAGACUUUGCUUUGAAUUUACAUGAGAAAUACAAACCAUGUCUGAAUCUUCGCUGGUUGUAAAUAUCAUUGUUCCAAAAUAUCGGCCAGUUAAUCGGCAUCUCGGUCAGUUAAUUGCUACUCUGUUGGUCACCGAAUAACCGAUUAAUUGAUUUAUCGGACGAUUAACUGGAAAAUUCGCCUAUUUAUCCCUACUCAGCACCCGGCCGAUAUGGUACCAGUUACCGAUAUCCUGAAAUUUAAAUAUUAUGACCCUACAUUACAUCACCGGUUCCGAACGCAAUUUGUUAUUCUUUGUGAUCCUGUUGUAAACGUUGGGGGUUCAUAGCAGCCUGCCUUAGUGUCUCAACUGAAUUGGAAUUUCACAAGUCUUUGUACCUGUUCCCCUUCUCUUCAUCUUACCGAUAUCCUGAAAUUUGAAUAUUAUGACCCUACAUUACAUCACCGGUUCCGAACGCAAUUUUUUAUUCUUUGUGAUCCUGUUGUAAACGUUGGGGGUUCAUAGCAGCCUGCCUGAGUGUCUCAACUGAAUUAGAAUUUCACAAGUCUUUGUACCUGUUCCCCUUCUCUUCAUCUUACUUUAUGCUGAUUCCUCUGCUGGGCCAGCUCCAGAAUGGGUCUCCUCAGCAUCAUCAGAAAAAUCAAGCGCAAGGAAAAGGAGAUGCGUAUUCUCAUGGUGUAAGCGUCCUGCUCCAUUCCUUUUUCGCCUUCUUAUUUUACCCCAGAUUCCUCCUAUCCAAACGCAUUAUUAUUCUUGGUUCUUUGCUUGAUAUGUAUGCUUCUUGACUUUCAAGGCUUGUGCCUUUCAGUUCUUUGUUAAUUGUUAUUCUUGAUUGAUUUAUUUCACCGAUGUCAAAUUUACAGCGGCCUGGACAACUCGGGUAAGACGACAAUUGUGCUCAAGAUAAAUGGGGAGGACACCAGUGUCAUCAGCCCUACUCUUGGCUUUAAUAUCAAGACCAUCCAGUACCAAAAGUAUGUACUACAUUCUUUGCUUAUUUAUCAAGUUAAGUAUAUGCCAUAACAGUAAUCAUCACUUCCAGCUGAUGUUAUAUUUGAUCGUUCCAUUUCCAUCUCGAGCAAAUCUAGAAAAAUGUCAGCUGUAGUAACAAAAAGUGCAAAAGGGGGCUGUGAGAAAUUUCAGAGUAAUUUAGGUUGAUGAUUCCAAUUUUAUAGUACCUCCAGGGUAUGCCACUUGUAUUAAGUAUUAACUGAAGGUGUUCUAGAAGAUAUCAUAGUAAUUUUAGCACUUGUAAUAUCUAUGUAUAUUCACUGCAUAGUACCACCGUUUUUCAACAGCGUCAGAAUUUUUCGUGCCUAUUAACUAUUGCAAGUAUGCCAUGCAUUCUGUUAUGUGAAGGGCACCCUAGCCUUUGUAGUUGCAUAAGAUAAUUAGAGGAACAAUCUUGCAAUCUGGGCUUGUUCUCUGGAGGUUUAGUGAUUAAUAUAUAAUUUCAACAGCUUUAGAUGAUUUCAUUUCAAUUACUGCUGGGGGAGAGUACUGUCGUGUUGUGCUUCAGCUAAAAUCAACUGAAGGUGGUCGAGCACCAGCAGUAUUCAAGGUGUGCAACUAGAUUCUUGGGGAAAAGCUAAGAGAGGAUGAGAUCCACAUAUAUGUUUGGGAAUUUUGUAGGCUGUAUUGCUCCACAACCACAAACAUCAGAGUGUAGUUUGGCACCGAUGUUUUCAAGUGGAAAGAGCAGACGCUAAUAUUUAAAUUCAACACAGGCGCAGUGCAAUUUGGAAUUUUGAAUAACUUAUGAAUUGACAAUUUUAGGGACAGGGUAGGACAACGGUGACACCGAACAGUACUAUCAAGCAAUAUGAUGGUUUGUUUUAGCUUGUUUUUAAGUCUAUGUCAGUCAGCAUCUGUCGUGUUUUCGGCCUACUAUGAAGCAAGCUGCAUGGAUGGUUGUAUUUUUAGCAUUCAAAGUAGGCAAUGCAAUUCCGAAUCUGGAGAGGUACUAAAUCACAUCUGCUGUGUUUUAGUUUGUUAUCAAGUGGGAAGAGGAGAUGAUAAUAUUUAAGUCUAACACUGAUGCGGUGUAAUUUGUAUAACUUAUGGUCAGCAAAUUGACAAUUUUAGAGACACUAGGACAACUGUGACACCAAAUGGUACAAUCAAGCAAAAUAUGAUGGUUCAUUUUAGCUUGUUUUUAGGUCUUCGUCAGCCGGCAUCUGUUAUGUUUUCAGCCUAUUACUGUACAAAGCAAGCUGCAUGGAUGGUUGUACUUUUAGCAUUUAAUGUAAGCUAUGCAAUUACUAACCUGUAAUCUGGAAAAGUGCUAAACCACAUCGGUGAAAAUACAACACAUUUUGGCCAUAAUUUUGACAGCUGCUUGAUGCCCAUCACUCAUGAAUCAUGGUGGUCAAAAACUCACAAUGCAUGAGCACAGUCAUGGGAACAGCAGAACAAAUUGCCAGGAAUUGAUAAUGGGGCUGAUUGUGGCAGGUACUCGCUGAACAUAUGGGAUGUUGGGGGCCAGAAGACCAUCCGUUCGUAUUGGAGGAACUACUUUGAGCAGACUGACGGUCUAGUUUGGGUGGUGGAUAGUUCCGAUGUCCGAAGGCUCGAUGAUUGCCGUGCUGAGCUCCACAAUCUUUUGAAAGAAGAGGUAAAUUGCCUAGUGAAUACCACUAAUCGUCUGCUUUAGCAUUCUUUGUCUUGAAAUUUUGCUUCAAAUUACUUAGCUGAAAACUAGCAAUUGCUGUUUAGCAUCAGGAAACUCUUGGGACUGCAAAUUUGAUUACCUAGCAUGUUUGUGCUUAAUUUAUGUGCUAUCCUGUUCAACUACUGAAUGACCCUUGAAAUAUUGAUUACAGAGACUGGCUGGGUCAUCGCUGUUAGUUUUCGCAAAUAAGCAGGACAUUCAAGGCGCUUUGAAGCCUGACGAGAUCGCCAAGGUAAAACACACUAUCACUAGUCCAGUACUCCAGUAGUAUGUAUAUAUGGACCCUCAUGUAUGGGUCAAUCUUCUUACCUGGAGUCGCAUGAUGCCAUGACCAUCUUGUGAUCGUCGCUUCAGGGAGUAGCCAAAACCUCGGAAAACAAUCCCAGCAAGCAUAUACAUACUAGUCUGUGGUCUUCGCUCCAAGAUGCUUUUUGUCUUCUUAAAUUGACAUGUUUAGUCUUUGAAUUCGAUGGUAACUGGAGUUGAGUUUUGGAUUCAGGUUCUGAAUCUUGAAGUGAUGAACAAGGACCGGCACUGGAAGAUUGUCGGCUGCAGCGCCUACACGGGCGACGGCCUGCUCCAGGGCUUCGACUGGCUGGUUCAGGACAUCGCCUCCCGCAUCUAUGUCCUCGACUGAAACAACCAAACUCUCUGGACAUUUAGCCAUAGGCAUGCUGCUGCUUUGGCCAUCUCAUGGCAUCUGUAUGUAAUCUGAUCAAGUUUGAACCAAACCAUAAAUGACAUUUUUAUUCUACACUUCCCUUGUGCUCCGUGUCAGUUGUGAAAGAUGGUGACAGCAAGUUUUGCAUCUUAUGCAGGAUUAGAAUAUGGAUGCUCGCAAUCAGUCCGAAUGACAGCAAGUUUAGAAUAUUUUUUUUCCUGAUUCACAGAACAAUUUCAAUAGAUCUAAGCAAAGAUCGAUGGAUGCUUCAGAACAGUAGAGAGAAAGGAACAAAAAUAAUCAGGACACAGAGGAGGAUAUUUCGCAGCUAUGACGACUUGCAUUUUCUUCCAUUUAAACCGAGUUCAAACAUAGGAUAUUCCAACAUCACAUCCCAAUCCAUGACAGAAGGGAUUGCUGCAUCACCGACGACCGACCGACCAAGACUGAAAGAUAACACAUGUUGUUUCUUCCUCGCGUAACCAGCUCUAAUUAACCCCGGACAGAGCGACACUCGAGCUCGCGAUCAAAAACACCACAGGACUCAACGACACACACGACGACUCAGACUGACUGACACAGGAACUGAAGAUAACUUGCUGACGAAGACGACGAGAUGGUAGAUAGAUCGAUAACUGGAGGGCCCCGCCGCUCAGUUCCUCCACUGGCCGCCGGAGUCACCGCCACCACGCUGGCCGCCGUAGCCACCACCGCCGCCGCCGUAGCCGCCGCCGCCGCCGCCGUAGCCGCCGCCACCGCGCUGGCCGCCGUAGCCACCACCGCCCUGGCCGUAGCCGCCACCGCCUCCCUGGCCGUAGCCGCCACCGCCCUGGCCGCCGUAGCCACCGCCGCCGCCGCCGUAGCCUCCGCUACCGCCGCGCUGGCCGCCGUAGCCGCCGCCGCCGCCCCCACCGCCGGACCGGCGGGACUGGGCCUCGUUGACGGUGAUGUUGCGCCCGUCGAGCUCCUUGCCGUUCAUCUCCUCGAUGGCCUGGCGCAUCGACUCCUCGCUGCCGAACGUGACGAAGCCGAAGCCACGGGACCUGCCCGUCUCGCGGUCGUUGAUGAUCUGCACGCACGCACAAAACACAAAAACCACCAGAUCCGGUCAGAUCCACCACACAAACCCAAGAUCGGGACAGAUCUACCACACGGACAGCAAAUCGGACGCGAAAUUCCAACGGAUCUGGGAGUUGGUUGGUUGGUUACCUUGGCGUCGAGGAUCUCGCCGUACUGGCUGAAGGCCUGCUGGAGGUUGUGGUCGUCGGUGGCCCAGGCGAGGCCGCCCACGAAGCAGCGGUACUCCGUCUCCGCCAUGGAUCUCUCCCUUUCUCUCCUCUCCGAACUACGGAAACCCUAGACUAGGCUAGCUACUCUCGGACCCGAACCGAACCAGAACCCGAACCGGAAGGGGAGGAGAAGCCAACCCCGAGAGCGAUGAGGAGGACGCUGCCCCGCCGUGGGGCGAGAUUUAUAGCGGUAGGUGGCCGCCCGGAUCGCAUCACGCGCACGGCGGGGCCCACGCGUCAGCGACGGGGCGGGUGGGUGAGGAUGCGGGUCUCGGGAUUUGGAAUAUGCGGGGCCGGCCAAGUGGGAGUGGGUGGCCGCGAGAUAUUUCUCGCCCCGGCUACGCGCACGCGGGCCGCGCGCCCCACACCGCGGUGCGGCACGCCUCGAAUCUUCUUGUCCAAGGCAACAGGAAGAAAGAUCUGAAUUUGCUUUCCCCUGUAACUAACCCUAGGACAAUGCAGGAAAAUUUCGAGUUUGCUUUUUUUUUUCUAUAAAUGACCACAUCAAAUCUUGAGAAAAUUAUUCCCGGGUAUGAGCUGCAAUAAUCCCACUAAUCUUUCUAGAUGUGUGCACAAAUAUCUUUCUAGAAAUGCUUACCUUCAGGCGACGGAUCGCACACGCGAGCGAUCCGCUGCCUUCUCUGUGUGACGCGUGUACGCAUGUCCUUUUGCGUAUAUCUCUCUGCAACACCAUCUGUGUUGUAAAAUUGCCUUCCGCAACAACAACAACCAUGUUGCAAAAAAUAAAGACGAAAAAAUACUGCAGAUAUUUUCUGCAACAUUAUCUGUGUUGCAUUUUCUUUCUGCAACAACGCCCAUGUUGAAAAAUUAGUGAAGAAAAAACACCUGCAUCAUCACCUAUAUUCAAAAGAUUUAACAUGGUUUUUUUUUUUUUGCAAAGUAUCCUGCAACACUGUCCUAGAUGCAAUGGUGGAAACAACAUUGAACGUUGGAUAGUUGUACAUCUGGCGGUUGCCGAGGCGACGGAUCUUUUAGAAAGAUCCACGGCCGACGCGUAGAGCGGCCCUUUUUUUUAUUUACGUUGCAAGGUAAAUUUUUUCUUUUUUUUGAAAAACCUCGUCGUCUGCCCCUACAUGGGUCAAAUCAAAAUUGUAACCUCCAUGCGUACCACACUCAUGUGUCUGAUUUCUGUCCAGCAAUCUAUCCAGUACGUUUUGUGAUUUUGUUCUAAGUAAUGGAUGGUUGGAUGUGUACCAUUGGACACUAAUCGGACAAAGAACAUCUUAUGUGUAGCAGAGCUCAAUCCAAAGUUAGGUCACCUUCUUGAAAUUUGCUCCCUCCGUCCCAUAUUGAGUAUCGCUCAAACUAAUGUAUCUAUCCAGCUACAUUAGUUUGAGCAAAACUUAAUAUGGUAUACAUCAGUCUGAGCGAAACUUAAUAUGGGAUGGAGGGAGCUCAUGGAAGUGUGGAGUGUCUACGUACCUUGCUCCAGCCGGAACCACCACGCAACAGGUGAAAAUUGCCGGUUUGCUUCCUUGACGGCAUGGAUGUGAAAUGUCUAGUGCAAAAGAUGAGCAACCAAGGUAAUUGAAAUGUUUGUGGGUAUGCAGGCUCAUUGUGCAUGCCUCGUUGAAAAGGUGCUUAGGACAUCGUUGUGGCAUCAAUUGCUUGCAUCUCAUCCAUCAGCUUUGGGGUAGUGGGGAUGGAUGGUGGCCCAGUGAUGAUACCAGAAUUGCAGCGCCAAGCCUUUUGUGAAUAAUGUUUCUUUUAUUUACGUUAACUGGUCGUGUGGCGAAUGUAGUGGCACAUAACCUAGACAGGAACGAGUAAAAUAUAUAUGCUUUCAACCUCCCGUCACGUUCUUCUAGGAGCAGUACUAAAUGUGAAAUUUGGACGUCUAUGAACAAAAAUUGGACACAUGGCAUAUGUCUACCAACUGAAUGAGCCGAUAAGGCGAACCAACCUGUGGUUGAAUGGUUAGAGUGACUGUGGUGUAUCCCCAGUCCACCAGGAUUCAAGUCCUGGUGCUCGCAUUUAUUCUUGGAUUUAUUUCAGGAUUUUCGACGAUAUGUGCCUACAGUGACUUUGUAAAAUCUCAAGAUGGUAUGCCGGCUCAGUCUCUCGGAGGUGCUCAUAGGGAUAGGGGUGUGCGUUCAUAGGGGUGAGUGUAUGCUCGUUUAUAUGAGGGCUUGCGUCUAUAUUGUGUUAAAAAAAAUAAGCCCAUAAGAAACAUAGCACUGAUGUAAAGAUCCACUGAUAAGAAUUUGUUCAUAAUAGCAAUUUUGCUGGAGCCGGCCACCUGCACAGGCACAAAUGGAAGGGUCACGCACCACGGCACCAUCCGCCCACAGGCCAGUUCGGGCAGCGAAAGUCGGGGGACUCGGAGCAGCCGGGCAGGUCGCCGAUCCCUAGGCGCAGAGCACGUGACUUGGCCCGGGGCACAGACUGCCCCCGCACGCCCUCUCUCCUCGCCCCUAUCGCGGAGGCCCGGAGGAAAAAACAAUAAUAUCUCGGAGCGCGAAAUGACGGCCCUGCCCCUCCCCGUGAAACCCCGUCCGUCCGUCCGUCCAGCCGGAACGGAACGGGAACCGGCACGCAAGUCGGCGUCGCGGCCUCGUGGGUGGGUGUGCUUGAUCAGUCUCGCCCUGACGAUGGGACGGGAUUUGGUUAACUAAUCAGCGGCAGGACCCACCUACCUGCGGCUGCGAGCAGGGGAGGGGAGUGUGGAUCGAUUUGGAUUAGGCCGGUGAGGUGUCACUCGACGUCGCUUUCGCGUGAUGGAACGGAACGGGACGGGCGGGUGCUCGAUGAUGAUUGAUUGAUGAAUAAAAUGAAUAGAACAGGACGGGGAAUCUGUGUGCUGCAGGACAGUUUUGGAGGGAGCGUGCAGUGCAUAGCGAGUGAUGGAUCGCUGGGCGUGUGGAUGCGUGACCAGACUUUCCAUCCGGUCAAGCGGCGAUCGCAUCUUGUUCCAGCAGCUGCAGCAGGUUAAACAAACGAUUAUACGCCGCAAAAGCUAAGCAAAAAAAAAAAUUGGUGGUGAUACUUUGGAGGAAGGGCAAGGAAAAGGAAAAAAACGCGAAGCAAUAAUUUAGAGGCGGGAAGAAGAAAAGAAAUUGAGAAAAUGGCAGAAACAGAAAAUGAGGUCCCACCGAGACUUGAACUCGGGUUACUGGAUUCAGAGUCCAAUGUCCUGACCACUAGACCAUGGGACCAUUUGAUGCACAGGAAUGAAAUUUAAUUUACUUAUAUCAAGUGUCGUCCAACCCCAUUAACUGAUUCCAAAUGCAGAACCCAGCGCCAUCGGUCCAAUUAGCGAACUGUGGUUCAAAUCAGGAAUGUUUAAACUCACUUAUCUGACUUAAAAACUCUCCUGAUUUAGUCACGCAGCAAACAAUAUGUGUUUUGCCUCUGCAGAUGUCUGAUUCGUCACUUUGUCUGAACAAGGAUGCAAAUUGCAUACCCAGAUUACCUGCAUCAUCGGUACAUUAAUGUGUGAACCAGUUAGUUAGCAACAAGCUCUGCAUGCAUUUUCCUUGUACUGGGCACGGUAUCAUCCCUUCUUUCCUGAUGCCAUCCACAUUCCAAGGUGUCGUGCAAGCCAUGCGUUACAACAUCAUAGCACUUAAGGCCAUCUUCAAAGCACACCCUUAAACCGCUUGUAUCCGUCUGGACCACGGCACGGAUGUAUUUUGCCAUUCAAAGGAGAUUAUAUCGGUCCGCCGACCGAUCCGGAUGCACUUUUUCAUGCAAAUUGAAAGCAAAUUGGGGGGAGGGGGCUUUGUGGGAGUCCGGACAGCAGCCAACGUAGGACUCUGACACCCGCGGCCCACUCAAAAUCCCAUAUCGGUCCCAUUCUCUUUUCACUCCGCCCCUGCUCCCCCUUACUUUGCAUUCGCGCCCUCCUCCUCCGACGCCACUGUUGUACCUCUCCGGCCGUCAUCCAGGAAUUGUCGAACACCCGCAAUCACCACCCACGCGCCCGCUCGCCUUGUACUACGGCGUCCGUCCACCCAGGAUCCAUCCACAACCAGGUACCCCCCGCCCCCCUGUCGGAUGGUGGGGUACUCGAGCAUGGAGGAUGAGUUGUUGUUCGAUGCGUGGUUGGUUGUAUCCACGGAAUUUGUAGGCGGGAGCAGAAAGAGGCUUUUCUGCCAGAGCGUGCAUAGUUUCUUUCACGCGCGGAAGCACAUUGCGUCCUACAACAUGCACCUCAUUCAUGAACGCAAUGUGUAGUUGUUAGCGUGUCUGUGUUACAUCAUCUAGACCGCCAUCGCCAAGUUUUGUGGCUAGGUUGAUCGGCUGGAGGCAAGGUGGCCAUUUGCGAGCGGCAACCGUGGAUAUUGUAAGUUUUGUUUCUUCUUGCUCAACUUGUUAAUUGAUUUAUUCAUUCACUCAAUGUUGCUCUACACAUUGUGUAGCUACUAUGCGUUGCCAUGAUGUACCACAGGAUAGAGGGACAGCCGUUUACACACAUACACUGUUGCAUGAAGCUCAAGGGUGUGUGGGGUGAUAUGAUCCGUUAAUGAAAAACUUGUUGAACAACUGGUUAAUCUUGUUGAAUUUGAACUAUUAUUGUACUAGACUUGUUUGGAUGCCAUAUAUGGAUGAUUUGUACUAUUUUCUAUCUGAACUUUGAUGAAUUUCAUCAUGUUUUAUGCAUUUUAUCCAGUUAGUUGAAAUGCAGUUUGAGAUGUAUGCGGAUAGCGGAUGGCCGGCUCCCGCAUCCGUAUUCAUGCACUGCCCUCCUUGUCCACGGACGGAUGCGGUGUCCGGUUUGUGGGUCAGCAUUGAAGAUGCCCUAAUUGCCCAAAACUGUCAUAUUUGUAGUUAGGUUUGCAGAAAACCAUUGUAUGGAUUUUAAUUCCCUGGACGUGUCACGGUUUGACACUGUCUCCAUCCUAAGGCGAGCGGAGAUAGUGGUCUUCCCUCCGGCAAUGUGUGAGGAGAGAUAGUGAUCUCUCCUCCGUCCUUGACUUAGCUGUCCUAACAUAGAGAUGGUGUUCCUCUCAUCCCCCAUCUGGUGCAUCCCUAUGGCCUCUGCACGCACUGAUCCUCUUCGGCGUGGUGUUCAUCUUCGGCCCGAUCUUGUUGUUUUCUUUGGUGGCAGUUGUGUUUGGGCUUCUCUAGUUAGCAUCUCGGUAGUCGUUGCCCUGCAUUUCUUGCAUGUAUUAAGUUUGUAUCCUUGUAUUCAACACCACUGUAUCUCCUAGCCGGUUGAUGGCUUCAUUAAUUUAAAGUUUUUGGACUAUAUGACUUUUCUCUAAAAAAAAAGGGGCGUGCUACGCGUCGGCCGGCGGAUCUAUUUAAAAGAUCCGCCGCCUCGCGAGCCGUCCGAUCUAGAUUGCUCAACUUAGGAUCAUCUUUGCAACAAGAGUCUUGUUUCAGAAACAAUAGAGACUAUUGCAAUAAGAGCUUUGUUUCAGAAACAUAUCAGUGAUUAUUGCAACAAUAGAUCUGUUUCAGAAACAUUGGUGACGUUAAGCAUCUCUGCGUACAAUCCUUCUUUGUAGCAAGAGCUUUGUUUCAGAAACACCGUUUACCACUCCAACAAGGUCUCUGUUUCGGAAACAUGACGCGCAAGGCUGGGACUGAUCCAGCAGGGAGGGCUCCUCGACACCGACAGCGGCGACGGAGAGGCCGUGCGCUGCACCACGCGCCGCUGGAACAAUGACCGGGCCUUGCAAAUAUCAGUCACCGACGUCGGGCGGUGGCUCGCCCGAUCUAGAUGCAGGGGAGCAGCGGAGCAGCCGACUGCUCAGCCACGACAAGUGAGGCGUCGAAGGCCAGCCUCGCCGGCGAACGACGGCUACCGGAGUAGGCCGGCAGCGAGGACUGGUGUGUGGCGAGUGUCUAUUGCGGUGCUGAUUGGGGACUAAAGGAUUGGGAGAUGGGAAUAAGGUGCGAUGCUGUUGCAAAGGACACGGUGGUGGGCCACAGAGGACGUGUGGCGCACAAUCGAGGAGGCGAACGCGGGUGUGAUUAUCGGCCGGCUGAUGAGCAGCGUUUCCCCUAAAAAAAUCCUUCAAAGUUCCUAUCUGAACUUGCCCUUUAUCUGCCUUAAGCUUGAUGACCAUUUUCACUUGAUUUCAUCUUCGCAUGGGCUAACUUGAAGCCUUUCUUUCGAUGCAGACCUAUGAGAAUUAUCUAACCAAUAUAGAUAUAGGAAACAUGUAGUACGUGUUAGUUCACAAAAUGAUUCAUAAUUUCUUACCAUACCACUCAAGCCCAUGUGGUACAUAACUUGCACUUGUGAGUUGACCUCUACAGUUCAAUCUUUCAUCUUUAUCUUUACUCCACGAUCAAAGUUGAUGUCUUGAAGGUUAUUUAGAUUUGCAUAUAGCUCAUCACUGUUUCUAGUUGAUCUUGGGUGGUUCUCUACAUGAGAACCUCUGGCAUGUUGUUAGCUUCUAUAAGAGCCCAAGUUCAUCCAAAGCGGAGUUUGAUUGUGAAAAUUUUGGCCAAAACGGUAAAACACGCGCAACAAAUUUUGCACCGUCGGACAAUCCGGUCAAGUGCAUCGUUGGCUCAGAAACCUUCCAUGAGGCCAGACAGUUUGGUCAUUUUGGACCAGAUAGUCCGAGUGCACCAAAAAAAUGCCCAAUAGGAAGAUUUGGAUAUGAAAUUUCCCAUUUCUUUUGCUCUUUGUUGAUCUUAAUAUAUUCAUCAUCACAACUCAAUGAUAUUGACAUAUAUCUUGAUCUUGAUGGCAUUCAUUCCAAAACAUCCAACUUUCUUAUUGCAUCACACAUGAAACAUGUCGUCAUACAUAGGGGACGACGUAUAAUUGGAGAAAAAAGAAGACUAGUAUCAUCUUGAACGCAUUUUUUUACUGAUGUGUCCAACUUCUUUGUUCAUUAUACUGGUUUAUCAGAUCUGAAGUGUCCGUGUGUUUCCUCAAAAAACCAAAUGUUGCUUUACACGUCAUUGCAAAUACCUUAAUCUCCACCAAGGAUAAUUAUUAUUGGCCUUUUCUCCAGACCCAAGUAAUGUCGUUUUGGGCUCGCACUUCCCCUUGGACCCGGGCAUGGACAGCCCGGCCCAAAAUCCCGACAUCUCGGCCGGGUUCGGGCUUAGCUUUUCCGCCCGAAGCCUGGCUUGAAAGCCCGAAAAAGCCAAAAAAGGCAUUAAUCACUAUUUUAUUACAAAUAUAGGUAUAGUAAAUCAUUUAAAUAUCCAAAAAUUAAUUAUUUUAAUUUAAAAAAGUAACUGUUCAUGCAUUUUGGGCCGGGCCGGGUGAGCUCGGGCUUGAGAUUUCUAGAUCGGUCUUGACAAAGCCCGGUCCGACGAAUGCCCAGGUUUACUUUCCCUCAAGGCAAAGCAAAAGGGACACUUGUCUCAUAAAAAAAACAAAAACAAAAGGGACACGUAUUUCCCCAAACCCGCCUUCCUACGAGUGCCGCCGGGAGUCGCACUAACAACCACGCCCUCACUCACUGGCGACCUGUAACAGAAACAGAACAGAAAGAUUCUCUCUCAAGUCCGGCCGGCGGCUAAACCCAAACCCCCGAGCCCGAUGUCGCCGGCGGCGACGCGCAUCCUGCUCGCGGGCGCCCGGCGCCGCGGCCGCGGCCUCUCCACGUCGGCCGAGCCCUCCCCCUCCCCCUCCCUGUCCCCCUCGCAGCUCCCGAGGGGCAAGCGCUGGGACGCGGUGGUGAUCGGUGGCGGCCACAACGGGCUCGCGGCCGCGGCCUACCUCGCGCGCGCCGGCCGCUCCGUCGCCGUUCUGGAGCGGCGGGGCGUCCUCGGCGGCGCCGCCGUGUCCGAGUCGGACCUCGUCCCCGGCUUCCGCUUCUCCCGCUGCAGCUACCUCCUCAGCCUCCUCCGCCCCGCCCUCAUCCGGUAACGCGUCUCCCGAUCCCCUCCUCUUUCUGCGAUCGAUCUCAACCUCCAUUUCCAUCGGAUUUACUUACAAACCGGGCCCCUGUUCCGUACCUGCAUUCUGAAAUUCUGUGAGGAUGUAUGUACUGAAGAACUGAUGCUUAUGCUACUGCUACUGCUACUGAUGAUGGAUGAUUCAGGGAGCUGGAGCUGGAGAGGCACGGGCUGAAGCUCCUGCCGCGGAGCCCGUCGUCCUUCACGCCGUGCCUCGACGGCCGGUACCUGCUUCUCGGCCCGGACGCGGAGCUGAACCGCUCCGAGAUCGGCAAGUUCUCCAAGAAAGAUGCAGAGGCAUACCCGAGGUGACAGACAGACAGACAGACACAUUCAGAAUGCGCAGUGGUUUCUUUCCUUGUGCGUUUCAGGUUGGAUUGAUCUUUACACUAGCAAUGGUUUUGAUGUGUGAAUGUAGGUACGAGGAGCAGCUAGAGAAGUUCUGCAAGCUCAUGGACUUCGUCAUAGACUCGCCUCCCCCGGAGCUGAGGCAGCUGUACCAUGCUUCCAUGGUCGACAGGAUGAAGGAUAAGGUCGACAAGUCAGUGUUCUGGAGCAAGCUUCUUGGCAUUGUGAUGCAACAGGGGCAAAAGGACAUGGUGUGAGUACUAAAUACAUCACCCCUCUUAGUGAUGCUACUGUUGCAUACAUUUGCGAACAAUGCAGUGUGUAAAGUUGAAUCUUUUUUACACUGGCAGGAACUUCUUCGACCUUCUUCUGUCGCCAGCAUCAAAGAUCUUGAAUAACUGGUUUGAGGUUGAAAGCUUACUUCCCUCUUAUCUGAAACACUUCUCUUCUGUCUUCACAAUGAUCAUAUGGAGAAAGCUGUAUUGCAUCUGACUAUCUACACAUGUCGGAUGAGAAUAACUUCUUUAGUUCUUGUGCUGACCGCUCUAGUACUACAGGGUGAUGUAUUGAAGGCGACCCUGGCGACCGAUGCUGUGAUAGGUACUAUGGUAAGGGUGCAUUGCUUAAUCCACAUUUUGUUGCGCCUAAUGGAUUAGUGUUUGACCAUUGCGUCUCCUUGUAUAGGCUGGUGUGAACACUCCAGGAUCAGGAUAUGUUCUCCUGCACCACAUCAUGGGGGAAACUGGUGGUCAACGUGGUGUUUGGGCGUAUGCUUCUGACCAUAUCCAUGUUAUUCUGUUCCACCAUAAAACAGUGUAGUUAGCAAAAACCCACAGGAUAAUGUAGCCUUGAUUGUUCUACACUUGAAACGGAAUUAAGGAUUGCUGGUGUUUAUCUCCACUGGCUAGGAAACAAGUUUUCAGUUGCCUUAGAGUCAGUUUCAAGGGGUGAUGUCACAGAAAAUGUCAUCACACUCUACCCAAAUUUGUUGGUGUUGCCACUUUUAGUUCUUUAUUUAGUUGGUGUCUUCAUUUACCUUUCUUUCUCUUUUUCAGAAAACCUUUCAUUAUUUUUUUUUUCACUUGCAGGUAUGUCGAAGGUGGUAUGGGUUCAGUCUCAUCAGCUAUAAGCAAAGCAGCCCUCGAAGCAGGUGUGCAAAUUGUAACAAAUGCUGAGGUGCAUUUUCUCUUCUUGUGAAAGCCCUCUUUGUUCCAUGUCGAUCAUGUUUGGCUGAACAAAUGAUUAAAAUCAAAGCAGAUCAGAGAAAAAAACCUGGGUUUUACAUCGAAGAAGUCAUUAAUUAUGUAGUCGCAUAAUUAUAAUUGUGCGACCAAUUUUUUAUUUGGCGUUUCUUGCCUCACUUGCCCCAGUUUUUUUUUUUGCAUAGGUUUCGCAAGUAAUGGUCGAUGAAAAUACUGGAAAGGUGCAAGGGGUAAGUCUUGGACUAAUCAGCAAGUGUAUGUGCACUGUGUAGUUCAUUUCUUUCUACCUCUUGAAGGUUUGAGAAUCUGUAGGUUGCUUUGGUUGAUGGAACCGAGUUGCACUCAUCAGUUGUGUUAUCAAAUGCCACACCAUAUAAAACAUUUGUGGUAAGAAUCACUCUGAAUACGUAGCGGUGUGAAGAUUUUUUAGCUCUAAUUUUGCAGGCAUAAUUAGAAAAUAUCCUCUAAAUUGACACCUGGUUUUAUUUGCAGGACCUUGUGCCUGCCAAUACUCUUCCAGAGGAGUUCCUCUGUGCCAUCAAGACAGCAGAUUAUAGCUCCGUAAGUACUUAGUUACUAGCUUAUUUAAAUAAAGGAAUUACAUUGGUGGUGUGCAUUCUUACAAAUAUCUAUCUAUACAAUAUACGAUGAUAACCUUGUUCAUUUACUUGUAUAGUCUAGCUAUUAUCCUCGCAUUUCAUUAGUAUGGAUGCCAAAGUUUUCUCAAGUAAAUAGAACUCGUGAUUGUGGGAAACAGACUAUUCAUAGCAAUGUUAUAUAGCAUCUGAAAAUUCUUACGUGCAAAGCUAUUUAUGGUCCACAUUGACUUUCAGUAACCAACUUGUAAUAUUGUUGCUAACUAUGCUCUCUGGAGAACAGGCAACAACGAAGAUCAACGUUGCUGUUAAUGCGCUGCCACAGUUUCACUGUUGCAAAAACAUCAACCCUGAAGGUGGCCCGGAGCACAUGGGCACCAUACACAUUGGAUCUGAAAGGUACUUAAGUUAGGGAAUAUUUCCUACGUCGGCACAUAUUUAUCAACUGUGUCCAUUGUUCUUCUGCAUAUCUGUGGACAAGCAACAAUCUACGAGACACUGUUUGUUAUCUUGGUCCUGUUCAUGUAUAGUAGGGCAAGGAAAAUAAUCUCUUAAUUCAACAUUGUCACUCUUCAAUAGGAAAUUCUGCUGUUUACAUUUAGUGUUCCUUGCUUGUCAUGUCAACCUGAUGCACCAACUUGGUAGCCUACAUCUAUGUAUCGAAGUAUAUGUUAUUGCCAGUACCUCAGGAUAAUAAAGAGCAUAGUCUGGCCAGGCUAAGCAGUCAUAAGAUGUCCGAGUUGUGGAUUAGCGCUUUCAUUCUUCUAAGGAAAAAGCUAGAUCAUCUGGCAAAUCAAUUCUUUUGUGUGAGACGAUUUUUGUAUAAUUCAGCAGUCACUUUUUCAGACUUAAGCCUUGUUAUAUCUCAAUAUGGAACUUUUACUUGCUCUUCAGCAUGGAGGAAAUCGAUAUAGCAUACAAGGAAGCUGCAGGCGGCUUCUCAUCCACAAGGCCUGUUAUAGAAAUGACAAUUCCUUCAGUCUUAGAUAAGACCAUCUCUCCACCAGGUAUGUCACUUUCUUUUGCUUCCCCAUAAUUUCAUCUGAGUAAGUUUACUAUUCUGCAAUAUUUAAUUAUAAGGAACCUGUUCUAUGCACACUAAAUUUACAUUUUAGAGUUAAUGUGUUGAAGGUCAUUUUCGAUGUUUAUAAUGUUGUGAUCUCCCAUAUUGUGUAUAUACUUCACAUGGACUUAUGGACUGACUCGUAUUCCAUCUUUCACUUUAUCCUUUGGAUAGGUCAGCAUGUUAUUAAUCUGUUUGUUCAGUACACACCCUACAAACUGUCAGAAGGCAGUUGGCAGGAUCCGGCUGUUAGAGUAAGUUGACCCUUCUUACAUUUUGAUUUCGUGAUGCACUGUAUGUUUAAUCUUUGCCCAAACACAAAUGAAAUAAAUGAUAAAAUUGAUAACCUUGCCCUUGGGCAUUGUGAUCCAUCACUGUGUGGAGAGAAUGAUUUUUCUGUAAUUAGAUCCACCUACCGACCAUUGACCAUUCUGAUCGACACCAAUUUUCAGAAAUCAUUUGCUGAGAGAUGCUUUUCCUUGAUCGAUGAGUAUGCACCGCACUUUAGCUCAUCAGUGAUAGGCUAUGACAUGCUGACUCCACCUGAUCUUGAAAGGGAGUUUGGCCUAACAGGUAAUAUCCCUUGGUAUUAUGUAUUGUCUUUUGUAAGCUGUGUGCCCGCAGACCGGAUACCGCUUUGUAUUGUUCCUUCUUACCAGUUGAAAACCUUAGCUAAGCAGAGACGAUUCACAUUUCUCAGGGGGCAACAUCUUUCAUGGCGCGAUGGGCUUGGAUUCCCUCUUCCUGAUGAGGCCUGCUAAGGGAUGGUAUGUUCGAGUCACAUGCAUAUUAAGUUGUGCUCUGGCCUCUUCUACUACACAACCUUUGGUCCUUCUAAAGUUCAGAACUCUUGCCUUUGUGAUCAUGGCUAACCUGUUUUCGCUUUGCACCUUACAGGUCAGAUUACAGAACCCCUGUGAAGGGGCUGUACCUCUGCGGCAGCGGUGCGCACCCAGGCGGCGGGGUGAUGGGUGCCCCGGGCCGCAAUGCUGCUGCCGUGGUUUUGGAUGAUCUCAAGGCAAGAUAGAUGCAAUUAAUGGAAGAUGGAAAUGGCAGCUGACACUAGGGUAGCAUUUUCAAGCACAAGGCUGCAAAAGCAGCACCAGUGUGUAAUCUCUUGUACGGAAAUGCAAACCUUGUCGUUAAGCCAUCUGGUAGAGACCAUUUUGUCAUGCAUACUUACAUGAUAAAAAAGAUGAGACAUGAGAAGCAUUUUCUGAAUGAAUUGUUGCAGCUGUUCUCAUUUUGGCUCUCUUAUCGGAGGGCUCAAAGGGAUUAAUUCUCAGUUAUGCGGUUACAUCUAUUUUCUUCUGUACGAAGUAGUUUCUCAAUGCAGUCUGCCGAACCUUCAAUUUGGUUAAAUGUGAAGAGGAGUAGAGUUUGCGAAGUAUAGUUAGAUAUUAACUGUGAGUGCUAUGCUCAUCUGUACAUUUGAACUGCCAUCCAGUAAUCUGUGUCGCCUAGCUUGUCUGCAGACUUGAACUGCGACCUAGGUACCUUGUAUAGAGUAAAUGAAUUCCAGUGUCACUACUUUCUAAUCUUUUGGUUUCCUCCAAUAUCCCAGGCUGUUCGUUAUACUGAUUUCACGUUUGUGAAUCUCAAGUCUUAAUAAGCCCUGAAUGGGGGUGUUUAUACAACGGACAUCCAUGAACUUCUCACCCUUCUUCAUGCAAUUGUCAUCAUUUUCUUCUUCUCGUCCCGCAAGAGGAAAUAAAACAUGCAUAUAGAAUGAUCUCAUGUUUUUGCAGCGCUUAUUGCAUGACGGAAGAGACUGUAACAGAAACCUGGCUCUUGAAUGAUUUGCCCAACACUCAUCGCAAGGACUUCUCGCUGUUCCUCAUGCGAUUGACAUUAGACUACUCACACAUGAAGUUUUCACUAUUUUUUCUUCUCUUCCUGCAAGAGGAAACAAAACGUGUACUCAUAUGAUAAAAGAGAGACAAUAACACGCUUCUUGAAUGACUUGAUCAAUACACUUAUUGCAUGCCUUGCUAACAAUGUUGCAUUGUUAAUGCCAUAUAUCCAGCUUAUAUCCAGCUGCCUUAGAAUCUGGGUGUCAAAGGUCCAAUGUCGUAUCGUUAGUAUGUUUCCUUCUGUUUUAGUGUCCGGUCUAUGGGAUACUCUAGAGUGAAAUAUUGGAGGAAAACAAAAUAUAUUGGUAUUUCCUGAUAUACUCCUGCAUUACCAAAAACCUUGGAUUCAUCAACCCCAACCCGAUCGCAGCCGCAUUCCUGUUCGCAAUGGAGCUCGCCUUCAGUCACUUCGCCGUCACAGCGGCGACUGUUGUAUUCAGCAGCACCAUUUGGCAGCUCUGCCACACCCCAGCCUUCCUCCCGCUAAAGCGCCACACAAUCUAGGCAAUACACACUGGGCCGCAUUGGAAUCAAUCAUCUUCGCCGGAGAGGCACGACACUCGGAGGAGCGUCUAGCACACACCACUAUGGGUCGGGCCUUCCUGGUGGGAGGCAAGGAGAUGAAAACAUCCGUGACAUCUUGUGCGAGCUUGUUCAGAUGUCCGUUCUCACUUUUUGUGGCUAAAUGCCCAUCGUGAAGGUUGGCAAUAUGCUCACCAACUCGCAAAGCCAUGCCGGACUAUCAGACCAGUUCGAGCUUAGCGACGGAGUAAACCUGCCAAGCUACCAAGCAUAUAUAUAACAUCAAGGGGGAUCCACUUUCCUAUGAUCUGGUUGUACACAUAUCCGCAAUGACACUCAACCUUCUCCAAGCAUUCACGAGGGCAUUUAGUAUAGUAGGGCAAGGAAAAUGAUCUUUUAAUUCAAUGGUGCCACUCUUCAAUAGCAAAUUAUACUGUUUACAUUUAGUGUUCCUUGCUUGUCAUGUCAACUUGAUGCAGUGAUUUGUUAACUUAAAUCUAUGUGUUGAAGUAGUUAAUGUUUUUGCUAGUACCUUAGGAUAAUAAAGAGCAUAGUCUGUCCAUGCUUAGUUAUAACAUGUCCAAGUAGUAGAUCAGCCUUUGCAUUCUUCCUAAGGAAAAAGCUACAUCAUGAUCUGGCCACUUAUUCUAUUGCGUGAGAUGAUUUUUGUAUAGUUCUGCAGUCACUUCUUCAGACCAAAUCCUUGUCACAUUUCAACAUGGAACUUUUACUUGCUCUUCAGCAUGGAGGAAAUCGAUGUAGCAUAUAAGCAAGCUACAGAUGGUGUCUCAUCCACAAGGCCUGUAAUAGAAAUGACAAUUCCUUCAGUCUUAGAUAAGACCAUCUCUCCACCAGGUAUGUCAUUUAUUGUGGGCAGUCUGGAAUUGCAGAAAUGAUUUGGUUUUUAACAGGACAACAAACAUUUAUUUUUUGCAGGUUAUUUUCCGAGCCACGGCGUUGAUCCGUUUGUGGUCGCUACUCACUCCGACGGAGGCCAGGGAGCGUUUGGUUACUGGAUCUAUCCGCUGGGAGACGAUAGCACGGGAUAUCUUCAACCGGUUUGAAUGGCGGUCAUGUAAUAGGAUAGGCAAUUAGUUUACCUAUCUCUCUUUUGCCAGCCGGUUGUGGCGUCCUUUAUAUGGCUAGUUUGUCCUUUAGCCCUUUUAGCUCGGUGUGAGCUCUUCUUUAAUUUCGUUUUGAGACUUUAAGACCUUGUUUGAACCUAUUUAUUUGUUUAAUAAAAUGGCCGUAUGCAUCGUUCUGAUGCAGAGGCCGGGGAGUCCCCCCUUUUCGAAAAAAAAAUGUCAUUUUUCUUCUGCUUCCCCAUAUCUGAAAUUUUGUAAAUUUACUACCAUGUUAUAUUUAAUUUCACUACCCCGAUGAAGCAAGAAAUGUACAUGGAACCUGUCCUAUGUAAACUACAUUUACAUUUUAGAGGUCACUUUGCAUGUUUUGAUUUCUCGUAUUGUCUAUAUACUUAAGGUGCAGUUAUGGACCGACUCAAAUUCCAUCUUCCACUUUAUCCCGUGAGCAGGUUAGCAUGUUAUUAAUCUCUUUGUUCAGUACACACCUUACACACUGUCAGAAGGCAGUUGGCAGGAUCCGAAUCUUAGAGUAGGUUGAUUCGCCUUACGUUUUAGUCUAAUGAUGCACUGUGUGUUUAAUAUUUGCACUUCACCACAGCCCACACUUCUUGCUGUAUAUACUGCCCCACAAAUACUAUUUACUCAUACCUUAAAAGAGUAAACGAUGAUGCCCUUGCCCUAAGGCAUUGUGAUCCGUCACUGUGCGGAGAGAACUAUUUAUCUGAAUUUGUGUCCACCUACCGAUCAUUGACCAUUUUGAUCGAUACCAAUUUUCAGAAAUCAUUUGCUAAAAGAUGAUUUUCCUUGAUCGAGGAGUAUGCACCGCACUUUAGCAAAUCAGUGAUAGGCUACACUUCUGCUUCGGUAGACCCCCUCUAAACACAAGGACGGCUCAGAUUAGCCCAUACCUCUUCAUAGAAAGGGACAUGAUAGUCAUAUUUAUAAAUUCUUCGCCGUACAUAUACGCUAAACAUUUUUUUUAGUCCAUGAAUGAACGCGCACAUCCUCCCGCGAUGGACCGGCCCAUGCAUCAUGUUUUUUUAUUUUCUAAAACAGCAAAAAUAAGUAUGUGCCACAGAGGAUUCGAACCGCACUCCAGCAGUAAUUAGCACAAGCGCAAUAACCAACUGGGCAACCGAACAGCUUGUGGUAGAUAUAUUGUUUUGACUAAAAAUAGAACACAGGAAAAGCGCACUAUAUCCUGUUUGGUUUUCUUUUCCUCUUUAUUUUUCCUUUUCUUUAUUUCUUUCCCUUUUCUUUCUUAAAUGCGUAAACAUAUUUAAAUUCGUGAAUUUUUCUUCAAAGUGGGUGAACUUUUUUCUCCAAAAAUGGUGAAGUUUUUUUCCCAAAUUCCUGAACUAUUUCUCAAAUCAGUGAUUUUUUUUAAAAAAUAUUGAACUUUUUACAAAAGUGAUGAAUUUGAUUUUAAAAAUCAAUGAACUUUUUUUCAAAAUCGAUAAACUUUUUUUCUAAUUUGUGAACUUUUCCGAAAAUUGAUGAAGUCUUGUUUUACUUUUUCUGAUCAAUGAACUUUCUUAAAAUCCAGUGAACUUUUUAAUUUUUUUUGUGAACUUUCUUGAAUUCCUAAUUAUUUAUUUUAAAAAUUAUCUAAAGGUCAAUAAUCAAGUUGUAAUUAAACUCCCUCCUCUUUCUUAAUGAGUGUUCUUUGAAAUUCAUCUUGGAUGCUUGGCAUGGUGAUACUAGUGUGUGGAACAAAUUCGAGUCCAUUUUAUUGAUGUGAAAAAGUGCAUCCAACCAGCCUACCCGAACCAUCACCUUUGAACAUGAUAUGCUUCUUGCCAUGCACGAAAUGACACCAAAACUUGUCAGUAUGUGGCCAUGCUCAUGGUUGGCCUUCAUGCAAAAUUUGAAGGAAUUCGGACACCUAACACACACUGUGUCACGUUCGGUUAGUAUUUUAGGAUUUUUUUCAUGGGAAAACCUUAGUAAAUGCAUAAAAAGUCAGAACUCAAUGAAAUUUAUCAUGGAUGCUUUGCAUGGUGAUGUUAGUGUUUCGAAGAAAAUUGGUUUCAUUUUAUUGGUGUGAAAUAAAAGUUCAACCAGACUUGCCCUACCGGCCUACUCAAACCCCACCUUUGAACAUGGUGUGCUUCUUGCCAUGCAUGAAAUAACACCAAUUUUUGCCAGCAUGUGAGCAUGCUCAUGGCAGGCCUCCAUAAAAAAUUUGAAGAAAUUUGGACACCGAACGCUCGUUGUGUCACGUUCGGCUAGUGUUUUAGGUUUUUUUUCACUAGGAAAACCCUAGAAAAUGUAUAAAAGGUCAGAAUUCAAUGAAACUUAUCAUGGAUGCUUGACAUGGUGAUACUAGUGUGUGGAAAAAAAAUUGGGUCAAUUUUAUUGAUGUGGGCAUUUUUUGAAAGAAAAAGAAUGAAGAACGAAAAACGAAAAACAACAAGAAUGAAAAGAAACAAAAAAGAACAGUAAACCGGUCGUUGAAUGAUUUAGUUUCAUUUUCCUUUUUCUAUUUAAUAGAUGCUCAGAAAUUUUAAAAGUGUCCGAUUCUUUUAUGUGAGCAUAUUCCUAUUUAAACGAACAAUAAACAAACAUUUUUGUUUAAACGAACAAUUUUUCUAUUUAAUAGAUGUUCAGAAAUUUAAUCAUAUUGAUGUGAGCAUUUUCUAUUUAAACAAACAAUUUUUUGACAUAUCUGUAAAAUUCUCUUGAAAUGCGAAUAUCUGUACUUUAUGAACAAAAUUUUAAAAAGCGAUUUAAAAAAAAAUAAGUGUGAGAAUUUUUAGAAAAUAAAAAAGAAACAAAAAUGAAAAAAGACAAAUAGAAAAAACGAAAAAGAAAUAGUAAUAACAGUACCAAUUCAACAAUGGGCCGGCCUAGCCGCGAACUGAAGUAGAAGAAAAUAAAAAAAGAAGUAAAAACAGCCAAACAUUAGGUUGUUCUAGUUGGUUAAUGUGGUCUUCCUUAGACCAAGAGGUCUUGAGUUCGAUACAAGGUGCCUGCACUAUUUUUUGAAAUUUAAUAAAAAGUGGGUAUGAUGUCUCGUAUGUGUCACAUAAGCGUAUGAGUAUACGGUUUGAUGAAAUGACUAUACCGCCCUUAUACGGUUUGUGGAGGGGGUUCUACCGAAGCAGGCCUCGAUAGGCUAUGAUAUGCUGAGUUGCUGAGCCCGCCUGAUCUUGAAAGGGAGUUUGGUCUAACAGGUAAUCUCUCUUGGUACUAUGUAUAAAUUUGUCUUUUGUAAGCCACACACACACGCAGACCGGAUACCAUUCUGUAUCAUUCCUUCCUUUUACCAGUUGGAAUUUUUUAAAGGAGAGACGAUUCACAUUUCCCAGGUGGCAACAUCUUUCACGGCGCGAUGGGCUUGGAUUCCCUCUUCCUGAUGAGGCCUGCCAUGGGAUGGUAUGUUCGAGUCACAUGCAUAUUAAGUUGUGCUCUGGUCCCUUCUGUUUCACAACCUUUGAUUCUUCUAAGGUUCAAAACUCAUGCCUUUGUGAUAAUGGCUAACCUGUUUCUCUUUGCACCAUACAUGUCAGAUUACAGAACCACUGUGAAGCGGCUCUACCUCUGCGGCAGCGGUGCGCACCCAGGCGGUGGGGUGAUGGGCACCCCGGGCCGCAACGCUGCCAUUUUUUUAGAAAAGGAGGAGGACCCCCGGCCUCUGCAUCUGGGCGAUGCAUGCGACCACUUUAUUAAUUAUUCUUACAAGACCUUAUAAAGUCAUACAACGGUAAGACUAAAGCCACCGUCUAAGCAACAACUGUCGCUACACCUAUCCAAUUGAUGAAGGGGCGCUGAUAGUCUGGGCCUAAUACCAAACAAACAUCGCAACCAGACCUAACAUCUAAGACCUGAGGUCCCCAACCAGGAUGCCUGCCGGGUAUGGGCACCCACCAGUCCGGCGUGCUCCUCAACCAGGACGCCUGCCGGGUAUGAGGCCGCCGCCGCCACUUGCCACCAACCCAUUUUCAGAGCUGUACUGCUGCAUCAACCUUGCCCGGUCUAGCUGCCGCCGACGCCACCACGACGCCAGACAGCCUCGACCUCCUGCGCGUGUCCAUCACCACACAUCUGACGCCAAGCCUCCGCUGCUCCAUGCCGCCAAGAGCCGCCGCCAUGAAUAUGUGGAAAGAAACACCGCUCCACCGAAGAAGCCAUCCACUGGUCCCUCGAGCCCGAGUGCAUCUCCAAGAAUGCCGCCCCCAAGGGGGUAACGACACAUGAAUGCCACCGUCAUCCGAUCAACUGAUCUAGGGUUUCCCUCGGAGGUAUUGGGUGGGUUUGGGAUUUGUACCUCGAUGAUGCCUUCAUGAAGGAAACGAUGAUAAGGGCAUCGUCAUCACCGGCUCCGGCCAACGACCGAAGACCAAGUUUUCACUCGGAUCCGUCUCAAGAAAUUCACCCGACAACCUAUGCACUGUCUCGACCGCCUUCAAAGCCCCAGAUCUAGCCGCCUAGAUCCGGCGAUCAACCACAAACAACAGUGCCACCGUAGGAGCCCUGGCACACCGGCCACCUCAACCGCAACCGCAACGCUGCUGCCAUGGUUUUGGAUGAUCUCAAGGCAACAUAGAUGUAACUCAUGGGUCUGGCACUAGAGUAGCAUUUUAAGCACAAGGCUGCAAAAGCAAGAGUACCUGUGAUGCUGUAAUCUCUUGUAGCAGAAUGCGAGCCUUGUUGCUAAGCCAUCUGGUAGAGACAUGUUUAUCAUGCGUACUUACAUGAUAAAAAUGAUGAGUCAUGAGAAGCAUUUUCUGAAUGAAUUGCCUGUGUAACUAUUCUUGUUUUGGUUUUCUUAUUGGAGGGCUAAAAGAGAUUAUUCUCAGUUAUGAAUGAAUUGACUGUGUAGCUAUACUCAUCUUUUGCUUUCCUCUCUGAGACUGUUUGGUUCGGUAAUACUGAUUUCACCUUUAUGAAUCUCAAGUCUUGAAUAUGGCCAGAAUGGGAGUAUUUGUACAACGGGCAUCCAUGAGCUUCUCACCCUUCUUCAUGCAAUUGACAUUAAACAGCUCAUUUCGUGAAGUUUUCACUAUUAUUUUCUUCUCUUCCUGCAAGAGGUAACAAACACAUGCAAAUGGAAUGAUCAUAUGAUUUUGCAGCGCGUACUCACAUGAUAAAAGAGAGAUAAUAGAACGCUUCUUGAAUGACUUGCCAACACAGUUGCCACAUGCUUAGCUAACCAAAACAACGUAUAGCCCUAUAUAUACCCACUUGCCUUAUGAAUUAGUAUGUUAAAGGUCCAAUGUUGUAUCGUUAGUAUUUUUUUCUAUUUAAUUGUCAAGUCUAUGGGAUACCCUGAAAUGAAAUAUUAGGCGAAAACAAAAUAUAAUGGUAUUUCCCCAAUCAGCGCCAUGGUGCACGCCACCAACCAUGCCGCCCUUGCAGCGUCGACCAUUGUAUCCAGCAGUGCAGUCUUGCAACCCGGCCAUGCCCCGUCCUUCCUCUGGCUCCGGCGCCUACACAAUCUGCGAUGUCUAUGCCAUGCAGUAGUCGGAGCAGCCCGCCGCUGCCUCGUGGCAGCAAAGACCUUGUGGGAGCCAGAUAUGUCAGCAAUCUCGCCACUGAAACUGGCGUCCUGUGUAGUGCUGGAAAGGAGGACCAUGGAGAGCUGGAAGGCGAAUAAGGCGCUGUAGCUGCCAGAGUACCAAGCGGCCAGGAGCUAGAGUCGACGGUGUUCGGCGGAGUGGCUUGACACCUGGUGGAGCGUCCAAUGGACGCCGAAGCUGGGUCUUCCUUGUUGAUUGCGCUAAGAGCUUCAAGAGUUCAAUGGUAACAACAUCCGUGAGAAAACAUUUGUGACACACCUUCUCACUCAGAUGUUGGUGGUCCUCACCUUUCGCGGCCAAAUGACCGUCAUCAAGUCGGGAGAACACUGGACAAUUCGCAAAGCCGAGUUUGGACCUCUUUGAGGUUAGGGAUGGUGUCAAGCUGUUGAGCUACCGAGCGGACCAGGAGGGUAUACUGCCAUGUAGUGGGUCACGCAGUGGAACCUCGAUUUCACUAUAGUUGGGCUAACAUGUAUUGGACCACAUGUGGAGUACUGAAUUCUCAACCUCUUCCUAAGAAGAAUGGGAAUGAUAUGCGACCAGGGACGGACGAAAUCACCCUUUUGACCUUUUUUCCUAACUUAAUCAAGAAUUGACCCCAUUUACAAAAGAAUUUCGAAUUUGACCUUUUUUGGUCACGCCAACAUCCCUGGCGUUUGGCUUGCACGGGAGACGCCAGGAAUGAUGGCGUUUGGGCCUGGCCCACACUUGUCCAACCGGAGCUUGGCGUCCUUCCUCCUGAGAAUGCACCGCACUUUAGCUCAUCAAUUAUAGGCUGCACCUCAUCUUUCACGGUGCAAUGGGCUUGGAUUCCCUCUUCCUAAUGAGGCAUGUCAAGGGAGGCAUGUCCCAGUCACAUGCAUAUUUAGUUCUUUGGCAACCUUUGACCCUUCUAAGGUUUAAAAAUCAUGCCUCUGCUGAUCAUGGCUAACUUGUUUUUGCUUUGCACCAUACAUGUCAGAUUACAGAACCCUUGUAAGAUUUGUGAUGCAUGAGAGAUGGUCACUGAACAUUUGUUCAACCAAUUUAGUUGGUGGCCUAGUAGGAUUUGUGAUGCAUGAAGCUCAUUUUCCUUCAUCUUUUUCAUUGCCCUUGAGGUAGCCAUAUGGCAUUUUAUCUAUUUGUUGAGUAUAUUAUGUACGUGUAUAUUGUGUAUAAGGCCCACAUUCUGUUUUCACUGUAUAGUUGAGUUGUGCCCCCUGUACUCAUAUAUACAUGCCUGGUGCACCGAUUAAUACAUCGCGAUUGUACAGCCCACAACUUGUCCUUCUACACGGUAUCUAUUGCAGCACGAUCCUAAACCCUAAGCCGCCGCCGCGCCUCUACGCGCCGCCGCCACCGCUUCUCCCCGCCGCUGCCACCAGCCGUCGCCGCCGCCGCCGUCCUCUCGGUAGCCGCCGCCGCUAGUCGCCGCCGUCUCCCACCACCGCGCCUUUCGCCGCAGCUGCGGCCUCUCCAAGCCGCCGCAGCCGCCGAUCGCCGCCUCGCUUCCGCUCCCUCCCGCCACCCGUGCCGCACCAUCCCCGCGCCGCAACCACCUCCCACCCGCGUCGCUCUCCCGCGCCGCGACCACCUCCCACUAGCGCCGCUCCCGCGCCGCAGCCCCCCGCCACCCCACCCCGCGCUGCUCCCGCGCCGCACCACCUCCACCCCGCGCCGCGCCACACGUCGCAACCCCUAACACUAGCCAUGAGUUCCUCCUCCUUCACCGUCUCCAACCCGUUUGCCGGUCCCGAUGUCACUCUCGUCCGCGACCUCAACAUCCACGAGCGCGUCCCGGUGAAACUUAAUCAAUCCACCGCCUCCUACUCCGCUUGAAAGCGGUAUUUUUCGCUGGUGUUCCGCGAGUACCUCCUUCAUGGCCACGUCGACGGCACCGCGGACUCGGCCCUCAUGAUCCAUGACGAGGAGUGGAUGAUCCUCGACGCCACCAUCAUCCGUUGGUUCUACCUCACCAUCUCCACCGACCUCUUCCACACCGUGGUGGAUGACGAAGACGAUGCCUACGCCGUCUGGACCAAGCUCAAUGGCCUCUUCACCGACAACAAGCUUCAGCGCAAGGUCCUUCUCCACGACGAGUUUUACGGGUGCCAGCAUCUUGACUCGUCCAUCGAUGAUUUUUGCAUGCGCCCGAAAAGCUUGCCGAUGACCUCCGCGAUCUCGGGGAGACGGUUGGCGACGAGCUCCUCAUCAGCACCCUCACCGCCGGUCUCAACGAGGAUUUUGGGAACGCCGCCUCCUGAAGGAAAUAUGCCCUAGAGGCAAUAAUAAAGUUAUUGUUUAUAUUUCCUUAUAUCAUGAUAAAUGUUUAUUAUUCAUGCUGGAAUUUUAUUAACCGGAAACUUGAUACAUGUGUGAAUACAUAGACAAAACAAAGUGUCCCUAGUAUGCCUCUACUUGACUAGCUCGUUAAUCAAAGAUGGUUAUGUUUCCUGACCAUAGACAUGUGUUGUCAUUUGAUGAACAGGAUCACAUCAUUAGAGAAUGAUGUGAUGGACAAGACCCAUCCGUUAGCUUAGCAUUAUGAUCAUUGUGUUUUAUUGCUGUUGCUUUCUUCAUGACUUAUACAUGUUCCUCUGACUAUGCGAUUAUGCAAGUCCCGAAUACUGGAGGAACACCUUGUGUGCUAUCAAACGUCACAACGUAACUGGGUGAUUAUAAAGAUGCUCUACAGGUGUCUCCGAAGGUGUUUGUUGGGUUGGCAUAGAUCGAGAUUAGGAUUUGUCACUCCGUGUAUCGGAGAGGUAUCUUUGGGCCCUCUCGGUAAUGGGCAUCACUAUAAGCCUUGCAAGCAAUGUGACUAAUGAGUUAGUUGCGGGAUGAUGCAUUACGGAACGAGUAAAGAGACUUGCCGGUAACGAGAUUGAACUAGGUAUGAUGAUACCGGCGAUCGAAUCUCGGGCAAGUAACAUACCGAUGACAAAGGGAACAACAUAUGUUGUUAUGCGGUUUGACCGAUAAAGAUCUUCGUAGAAUAUGUAGGAGCCAAUAUGAGCAUCCAGGUUCCACUAUUGGUUAUUGACCGGAGAUAUGUCUCGGUCAUGUCUACAUAGUUCUCGAACCCGUAGGGUCCGCACGCUUAACGUUCGAUGAUGAUUUGUAUUAUGAGUUAUGUGAUUUGAUGUACCAAAGGUUGUUCGGAGUCCCUGAUGAGAUCACGGACAUGACGAGGAGUCUAGAAAUGGUCGAGACGUAAAGAUCGAUAUAUUGGAAGGCUAUAUUCGGACAUCGGAAAGGUUUCGAGUGAUUCGGCUAUUUUUCGGAGUACCGGAGAAUUACGAGAAUUCGCCGGGGGAAGUAUUGGGUCUUCAUGGGCCUAGUAGUGAAAGAGAGGAGGCAGGCCAAGGUGGGGCACGCGCCCCCCUAGCCCAAACCGAAUUGGACUAGGGGGCCGGCCCCCCUUUCCUUCUCUUCUUCCUCUCCUUCCUUUCUCUAAUACUUGGACAAGGAAAGGGGGGAAACCUACUCCUACUAGGAGUAGGAAUCCCCCCCUUGGGCGCGCCCUAUGAGGCCGGCCCUCCUCCUCCUCCCCUCCUUUAUAUACGGGGGAGGGGGACACCCCAAAGACACACAAGUUGACAUUGUCUUAGCCGUGUGCGGUGCCCUCCUCCACCAUAAUCCACCUCGGUCAUAUCGUUGCAGUGCUUAGGCGAAGCCCUGCGCUGGUAGCUUCAUCAUCAUCGUCAUCACGCCAUCGUGCUGACAAAGCUCUCCCUAGACACUCAGCUGGAUCGAGAGUUCGUGGGACGUCACCGAGCUGAACGUGUGCUGAUCACGGAGGUGCCGUACUUUCGGUACUAGGAUUGGUCGGAUCGUGAAGACGUACGACUACAUCAACCGCGUUGUCAUAACGCUUCCGCUUACGGUCUACGAGGGUACGUGGACUACACUCUCACCUCUCGUUGCUAUGCAUCACCAUGAUAGAUCUUGCGUGUGCGUAGGAUUUUUUUUGAAAUUACUGCAUUCCCCAACAGUGGCAUCAAAGCCAGGUCUAUGCGUAGAUAUUAUAUGCGCGAGUAGAACACAAAUGAGUUGUGGGCGAUAAUAGUCAUACUGCUUACCAGCAUGUCAUACUUUGAUUCGGCGGUAUUGUUGGAUGAAGCGGUCCGGACCGACAUUACGCGUAUGCUUACGCGAGAUUAGUUCUACCGACGUGCUUCGCACACAGGUGACUGGCGGGUGUCAGUUUCUCCAACUUUAGUUGAAUCGAGUGUGGCUACGCCCGGUCCUUGUUGAAGGUUAAAACAACACACUUGACGAAAAAUCGUUGUGGUUUUGAUGCGUAGGUAAGAACGGUUCUUGCUAAGCCCGUAGCAGCCACGUAAAACUUGCAACAACAAAGUAGAGGACGUCUAACUUGUUUUUGCAGGGCAUGUUGUGAUGUGAUUGUUGGGGAACAUAGCAGAAAUUCAAAAUUUUCUACGCAUCACCAAGAUCAAUCUAUGGAGUAAUCUAGCAACAAGGGAAGGGGAGUGCAUCUACAUACCCUUGUAGAUCGCUAAGCAGAAGCGUUGCAAGAACGUGGAUGAAGGAGUCAUACUCGUAGCGAAUUAGAUCGCGGUUGAUUCCGAUCUAAGCGCCGAACCACGGCGCCUCCGCGUUCAACACACGUGCAGCCCGGUGACGUCUCCCAUGCCUUGAUCCAGCAAGGAGAGAGGGAGAGGUUGGGGAAGACUCCGUCCAGCAGCAGCACGACGGCGUGGUGGUGGUGGAGGAGCGCGGUACUCUAGCAGGGCUUCGCCAAGCACCGCAAGAGACGAGGAGGGAGAGGGGUAGGGCUGCGCCAUGAGGGAAUGUUCUCGUGUCUAUGGCAGCCCCAAACCCCCACUAUAUAUAGGGGAAAGAAAGGGGCUGCGCCCCCACCUAGGUUUCCACCUCUAGGGGUGGCGGCCAGCCCUAGAUGGGACUUGGAGGGGCGGCCAAGGGGGGAGAGAGGGGGGGCGCACCACUAGGUGGGCCUUAGGCCCAUCUGAGCCUAGGGUUUCCCCUUUUCCCUUCUCUCCUCGCCUUGGGCCUUGGUGGGGGGGCGCACCAGCUCACCUGGGGCUGGUCCCCUCCCACACAUGGCCCACGCAGCCCUCUGGGGCUGGUGGCCCCACCUGGUGGACCCCCGGGACCCUCCCGGUGGUCCCGGUACGUUACCGAUAGCACCCGAAACUUUUCCGGUGACCAAAACAGGACUUCCCAUAUAUAAAUCUUUACCUCCGGACCAUUCCGGGACUCCUCGUGACGUCCGGGAUCUCAUCCGGGACUCCGAACAACAUUCGGUAACCACGUAUAUCUAUUCCCUAUAACCCUAGCGUCAUCGAACCUUAAGUGUGUAGACCCUACGGGUUCGGGAACCAUGCAGACAUGACCGAGACGUUCUCCGGCCAAUAACCAACAGCGGGAUCUGGAUACCCAUGUUGGCUCCCACAUGUUCCACGAUGAUCUCAUCGGAUGAACCACGAUGUCAAGGAUUCAAUCAAUCCCGUAUACAAUUCCCUUUGUCUACCGGUAUAGUACUUGCCCGAGAUUCGAUCGUCGGUAUCCCGAUACCUUGUUCAAUCUCGUUACCGGCAAGUCUCUUUACUCGUUCCAUAACACAUCAUCCCGUGAUCAACUCCUUGGUCACAUUGUGCACAUUAUGAUGAUGUCCUACCGAGUGGGCCCAGAGAUACCUCUCCGUUUACACGGAGUGACAAAUCCCAGUCUCGAUUCGUGCCAACCCAACAGACACUUUCGGAGAUACCUGUAGUGCACCUUUAUAGCCACCCAGUUACGUUGUGACGUUUGGUACACCCAAAGCAUUCCUACGGUAUCCGGGAGUUGCACAAUCUCAUGGUCUAAGGAAAUGAUACUUGACAUUAGAAAAGCUUUAGCAGACAAACUACACGAUCUUGUGCUAGGCUUAGGAUUGGGUCUUGUCCAUCACAUCAUUCUCCUAAUGAUGUGAUCCCGUUAUCAACGACAUCCAAUGUCCAUGGUCAGGAAACCGUAACCAUCUAUUGAUCAACGAGCUAGUCAACUAGAGGCUUACUAGGGACAUGGUGUUGUCUAUGUAUCCACACAUGUAUCUGAGUUUCCUAUCAAUACAAUUUUAGCAUGGAUAAUAAACGAUUAUCAUGAACAAGGAAAUAUAAUAAUAACCAAUUUAUUAUUGCCUCUAGGGCAUAUUUCUAACAGUCUCCCACUUGCACUAGAGUCAAUAAUCUAGUUCACAUCGCCAUGUGAUUAAUACCCAAGAGUUUACUAGAGUCAAUAAUCUAGUUCACAUCUCCAUGUGAUUGUAAUGAAUCCAACACCCAUGGGGUUUGUUCAUAUCUCGCUUGUGAGAGAGGUUAUUAGUCAACGGAUCUGAACCUUUCAGAUCCGUGUGUGCUUUACGAAUAUCUAUGUCAUCUUGUAGAUGCAGCUACCACGCGCUACUUGGAGCUAUUCCAAAUAACUGCUCUACUAUACGAAUCCGGUUUACUACUCAGAGUCAUCCGGAUUAGUGUCAAAGUUUGCAUCGACGUAACCCUUUACGACGAACUCCUUUUCCACCUCCAUAAUCGAGAAAAUUCCUUAGUCCACUAGAUACUAAGGAUAAGUUCGACCGCUGUCAUGUGAUCCAUUCCCGGAUCACUAUUGUACCCCUUGACUAACUCAUGGCAAGGCACACUUCAUGUGCGGUACACAGCAUAGCAUACUGUAGAGCCUACGUCUAAAGCAUAGGGGACGACCUUCGUCCUUUCUCUCUCUUCUGCUGUGGUCAGGUCUUGAGUCUUACUCAAUACUCACACCUUGUAACACAGCCAAGAACUCCUUCUUUGCUGGUCUAUUUUGAACUCCUUCAAAAUCUUGUCACGGUAUGUAUUCAUUUGAAAGUACUAUUAAGCGGGUUUUGAUCUAUCCUUAUAGAUCUUGAUGCUCAAUGUUCAAGUAGCUUAAUCCAGGUUUUCCAUUGAAAAACACUUUUCAAAUAACCCUGUAUGCUUUCCAGAAAUUCUACAUCAUUUCUAAUCAACAAUAUGUUAACAACAUAUACUCAUCAAAAAUUCUAUAGUGCUCCCACUCACUUGUUUGGAAAUACAAGUUUCUCAUAAACUUUGUAUAAACCCAAAAUCUUUGAUCAUCUCAUCAAAGCGUACAUUCCAACUCCGAGAUGCUUACUCCAGUCCUUAGAAGGAUUGCUGGAGCUUUGCAUACUUGUUAGCAUCUUUCAGGAUUGACAAAACCUUUGGUUGUAUCACAUACAACCUUUCCUCAAGAAAAUCGUCAAGGAAACAAUGUUUUGACAUCCUAUCUGCAAGAUUUCAUAAAUAAUGCAGUAACUGCUAAUAUAAUUCCAACAGACUCUUAGCAUCGCUACGAGUGAGAAAGUCUCAUCGCAGUCAACUCCUUGAACUUGUCGGAAAACAUCUUAACGACAAGCCGAGCUUUCUUAAUGGUGACACUUACCAUCAUUUUCUGUCUUCCUUUUAAAAUCCAUCUGCACCCAACAGCCUUACGACCAUCAAGUAUUUCUUCCAAAGUCUAUACUUUGCUUUUAUACAUGGAUCCUCUCUCGGAUUUCAUGGCCUCGAGCCAUUCGUCGGAAUCCGGGCCCACCAUCGCUUCUCCAUAGCUCGUAGGUUCAUUGUUGUCUAGCAACAUGACUUCCAAGACAGGAUUAUGUACCACUCUGAAGUAGUACGCAUCCUUAUCGACCUACGAGGUUUGGUAGUGACUUGAUCCGAAGUUUCAUGAUCACUAUCACAAGCUUCCACUUCAAUUGGUGUAGGUGCCACAGGAACAACUUCCUGUGCCCUGCUACACACUAGUUGAAGUCAUGGUUCAAUAACCUCAUCAAGUCUCCACCAUCCUCCCACUCAAUUCUUUCGAGAGAAACUUUUUCUCGAGAAAGGACCUGUUUACUUCCAGAUCUGAAACAGGAGGUAUACCCAACUGUUUUGGGUAUUCUAUGAAGAUGCAUUUAUCUGCUUUGGGUUCGAGCUUAUCAGCCUGAAACUUUUUCACAUAAGCAUCGCAACCCCAAACUUUUAAGAAACGACAACUUAGGUUUCUCUAAACAGUGUCGUCUCAACGGAAUUGCGUGGUGCCCUAUUUAAAGUGAAUGCGGUUGUCUCUAAUGCCUAACCCAUAAACGAUAGUGGUAAUUCGAUAAGAGACAUCAUGGUAUGCACCAUAUCCAAUAGGGUGCAGUUAUGAUGUUCGGACACACCAUCACAUUGUGGUGUUCCAGGCGGUAUUAAUUGUGAAACACUUUCCACAAUGUCUUAAUUGUGUGCCAAACUCGUAACUCAGAUAUCUCUAUGAUCAUAUCAUAGACAUUUUAUCCUCUUGUCACGACGAUCUUUCAACUUCACUCUGAAAUUACUUGAACCUUUUAAUAAUUUAGACUUGUGUUUCAUCAAGUAAAUACACUCAGCAUCUACUCAAAUGAUCUGUGAAGUAAGAACAUAACGAUAUCCACUGCAUGCCUCAGCACUCAUUGGACUGCACACAUCAAAAUGUAUUACUUCCAACAAGUUGCUCUCUUGUUUCAUCUUACUGAAAACGAGGCCUUUCAGUCAUCUUGCCCAUGUGGUAUGAUUUGCAUGUCUCAAGUGAUUCAAAAUCAAGUGAGUCCAAAUGAUCCAUCUGCAUGGAGUUUCUUCAUGCAUAUAUACCAAUAGACAUGGUUCGCAUGUCUCAAUCUUUUCAAAAACGAGUGAGUCCAAAGAUCCAUCUACAUGGAGCUUCUUCAUGCGUUCUAUACCAAUAUGACUCAAAUGGCAGUGCCACAAGUAUGUGGUACUAUCAUUACUAUUUUAUAUCUUUUGGCACGAACAUGUGUAUCACUGCGAUCGAGAUUCAUUUUAGGUGCAAGACCAUUGAAGGUAUUAUUCAAAUAAACAGAGUAACCAUUAUUCUCCUUAAAUGAAUAACCGUAUUGCGAUAAACAUAAUCCAAUCAUGUUUAUGCUCAACGCAAACACCAAAUAACAAUUAUUUAGGUUUAACACCAAUCUCGAUGGUAGAGGGAGCAUGCGAUGCUUGAUCUCAUCAACCUUGGAAACACUUCCAACACAUAUCGUCAUCUCACCUUUAGCUAGUCUCCGUUUAUUCCGCAGCUUUUAUUUCGAGUUACUAACACUUAGCAACCGAACCGGUAUCUAAUACCCUGGUGCUGCUAGGAGUACUAGUAAAGUACACAUUCAUAUAAUGUAUAUCCAAUAUACUUCUGUCGACCUUGCCUGCCUUCUCAUCUACCAAGUAUCUAGGGUAGUUCUGCUUCAGUGACCGUUCCCCUCAUUACAGAAGCACUUAGUCUCGGGUUUGGGUUCAACCUUGGGAUUCUUCACUAGAGCAGCAAAUGAUUUGCUGUUUCAUGAAGUAUCCCUUUUGCCCUUGCCCUUCUAGAAACUAGUGGUUUUACUAACCAUCAACAAUUGAUGCUCCUUCUUGAUUUCUACUUUCGCGGUGUCAAACAUCGCGAGUUGCUCAAGGAUCAUCAUGUCUAUCCCUGAUAUGUUAUAGUUCAUCACGAAGCUCUAAUAGCUUGGUGGCAGUGACUAUCGAGAACCAUCACUAUCUCAUCUGGAAGAUUAACUCCCACUCGAUUCAAGCGAUUGUAGUACUCAGACAAUCUGAGCACAUGCUCAACGAUUGAGCUUUUCUCCCUUAGUUUGCAGGCUUAAGAAACUUGUCAGAGGUCUCAUACCUCUUGACGUGGGCAUUAGUCUGAAAUCCCAAUUUCAGUCUUUGGAACAUCUCAUAUGUUCUGCGACGUUUCAAAACCGUCUUGUCGCCACAAUUUUAAACCGUUAGCAUCACACACUGAACUAUCACGUAGUCAUCAAAACGUGUAUGUCAGAUGUUUCGCAACAUCUACAGACGACGCUGAGGUUCAGCACACCGAGCGGUGCAUUAAGGACAUAAGCCUUCUGUGCAGCAAUGAGGACAAUCCUCAGUUCACGGACCCAGUCCGCAUAAUUGCUACUAUCAACUUUCAACUAAAUUUUCUCUAGGAACAUAUCUAAACAGUAGAACUAAAGCGUAAGUUAUGACACAAUUUGCAAAGACCUUUUGACUAUGUUCAUGAUAAUUAAGUUCAUCUGAUUAUUUAAUGAACUCCCACUCAGAUAGACAUCCCUCUAGUCAUCUAAGUGAUACAUGAUCCAAGUCAAACUAGGCCGUGUCUGAUCAUCACGUGAGACGGACUAGUCAUCAUCGGUGAACAUCUCCAUGUUGAUCGCAUCUACUAUACGACUCAUGUUCGACCUUUCGAUCUCUUGUGUUCCGAGGCCAUGUCUGUACAUGCUAGGCUCGUCAAGUCAACCUAAGUGUUUCGCAUGUGUUCCGAGGCCAUGUCUGUACAUGCUAGGCUCGUCAACACCCAUUGUAUGCGAACGUUAGAAUCUAUCACACCCGAUCAUCACGUGGUGCUUCGAAACAACGAACCUUCGCAACGGUGCACAGUUAGGGGGAACACGUCUCUUGAAUUUUAGUGAGGGAUCAUCUUAUUUAUGCUACCGUCGUUCUAAGCAAAUAAGAUGUAAACAUGACAAACAUCACAUGCAAAUCAUAAAGUGACGUGAUAUGGCCAAUAUCAUCUUGCGCCUUUGAUCUCCAUCUUUGAGGCGCGACAUGAUCACCUUCGUCACCGGCAUGACACCAUGAUCUCCAUCAUCAUGAUCUCCAUCAUCGUGUCUUCAUGAAGUUGUCUCGCCAACUAUUACUUCUACUACUAUGGCUAACGGUUAGCAAUAAAGUAAAGUAAUUACAUGGCGUUUUCAUUGGCACGCAGGUCAUACAAUAAAUUAAGACAACUCCUAUGGCUCCUGCCGGUUGUCAUACUCAUCGACAUGCAAGUCGUGAUUCCUAUUACAAGAACAUGAUCAAUCUCAUACAUCACAUAUAUCAUUCAUCACAUCCUUUUGGCCAUAUCACAUCACAUAGCAUACCCUGCAAAAACAAGUUAGACGUCCUCUAAUUGUUGUUGCAUGUUUUACGUGGCUGCUAUGGGUUUCUAGCAAGAACGUUUCUUACCUACGCAAAGGCCACAACGUGAUAUGCCAAUUUCUAUUUACCCUUCAUAAGGACCCUUUUCAUCGAAUCCGAUCCGACUAAAGUGGGAGAGACAGACACCCGCUAGCCACCUUAUGCAACUAGUGCAUGUCAGUCGGUGGAACCUGUCUCACGUAAGAGUACGUGUAAGGUCGGUCCGGGCGGCUUCAUCCCACGAUGCCGCCGAAUCAAGAUAAGACUAGUAACGGCAAGUAAAUUGACAAAAUCGACGCCCACAACUACUUUGUGUUCUACUCGUGCAUAGAAACUACGCAUAGACCUAGCUCUGAUACCACUGUUGGGGAACGUAACAGAAAUUCAAAAUUUUCUACGCAUCACCAAGAUCAAUCUAUGGAGUAAUCUAGCAACAAGGGAAGGGGAGUGCAUCUACAUACCCUUGUAGAUCGCUAAGCGGAAGCGUUGCAAGAACGCGGAUGAAGGAGUCGUACUCGUAGCGAAUCAGAUCGCGGUUGAUUCCGAUCUAAGCGCCGAACCACGGCGCCUCCGCGUUCAACACACGUGCAGCCCGAUGACGUCUCCCAUGCCUUGAUCCAGCAAGGAGAGAGGGAGAGGUUGGGGAAGACUCCAUCCAGCAGCAGCACGACGGCGUGGUGGUGGUGGAGGAGCGCGGUACUCCAGCAGGGCUUCGCCAAGCACCGCAAGAGACGAGGAGGGAGAGGGGUAGGGCUGCACCAUGAGGGAGAUGUUCUCGUGUCUAUGGCAGCCCCAAACCCCCACUAUAUAUAGGGGAAAGGGAGGGGCUGCGCCCUCACCUAGGUUUCCAUCUCUAGGGGUGGCGGCCAGCCCUAGAUGGGACUUGGAGGGGCGGCCAAGGGGGGAGAGAGGGGGGGCGCACCACUAGGUGGGCCUUAGGCCCAUCUGAGCCUAGGGUUUCCCCUUUUCCCUUCUCUCCUUGCCUUGGGCCUUGGUGGGGGGGGGGGCGCACCAGCUCACCUAGGGCUGGUCCCCUCCCACACUUGGCCCAUGCAGCCCUCUGGGGCCGGUGGCCCCACCUGGUGGAUCCCCGGGACCCUCCCGGUGGUCCCGGUACGUUACCGAUAGCACCCGAAACUUUUCCGGUGACCAAAACAGGACUUCCCAUAUAUAAAUCUUUACCUCCGGACCAUUCCGGAACUCCUCGUGACGUCCGGGAUCUCAUUCGGGACUCCGAACAACAUUCGGUAACCACGUAUAUCUAUUCCCUAUAACCCUAGCGUCAUCGAACCUUAAGUGUGUAGACCCUACGGGUUCGGGAACCAUGCAGACAUGACCGAGACGUUCUCCGGCCAAUAACCAAUAGCGGGAUCUAGAUACCCAUGUUGGCUCCCACAUGUUCCACAAUGAUCUCAUCGGAUGAACCACGAUGUCAAGGAUUCAAUCAAUCCCGUAUACAAUUCCCUUUGUCUACCGGUAUAGUACUUGCCCGAGAUUCGAUCGUCGGUAUCGAUACCUUGUUCAAUCUCGUUACCGGCAAGUCUCUUUACUCGUUCCGUAACACAUCAUCCCGUGAUCAACUCCUUGGUCACAUUGUGCACAUUAUGAUGAUGUUUUACCGAGUGGGCCCAGAGAUACCUCUCCGUUUACACGGAGUGACAAAUCCCAGUCUCGAUUCAUGCCAACCCAACAGACACUUUCGGAGAUACCUGUAGUGCACCUUUAUAGCCACCCAGUUACGUUGUGACGUUUGGUACACCCAAAGCAUUCCUACAGUAUCCGGGAGUUGCACAAUCUCAUGGUCUAAGGAAAUGAUACUUGACAUUAGAAAAGCUUUAGCAGACGAACUACACGAUCUUGUGCUAGGCUUAGGAUUGGGUCUUGUCCAUCACAUCAUUCUCCUAAUGAUGUGAUCCCGUUAUCAAUGACAUCCAAUGUCCAUGGUCAGGAAACCGUAACCAUCUAUGGAUCAACGAGCUAGUCAACUAGAGGCUUACUAGGGACAUGGUGUUGUCUAUGUAUCCACACAUGUAUCUGAGUUUCCUAUCAAUACAAUUUUAGCAUGGAUAAUAAACGAUUAUCAUGAACAAGGAAAUAUAAUAAUAACCAAUUUAUUAUUGCCUCUAGGGCAUAUUUCUAAUAGUGAUAUGGUCAAGACGUGAUGAGAUAUAAAUUGUUGUAUGAGAUGAUCAUGUUUUGUUAAAGUUAUCGGCAACUGGCAGUAGCCUUAUGGUUGUCUCUUUAUUGCAUAAGAUGCAAGCAUCAUAUAAUUGCUUUACUUUAUCGCUAUGCGAUAACAAUAGUUGCAAAAGCAAUAGUUGGCGAGACGACCAUGUGACGACACGUUGAUAGAGAUCAAGAUGAUGGAGAUCAUGGUGUCAUGCUUGUGACGAUGGAGAUCAUGACAGUACUUUGGAGAUGGAGAUCAAAGGCACAAGAUGAUGAUGGCCAUAUCAUGUCACAUAUUUUGAUUACAUGUGAUGUUUAUCUUUUAUACGUCUUAUUUUGCUUAGUUCGGCGGUAGCCUUAUAAGAUGAUCCCUUACUAAAAUUUCAAGGUAUAAGUGUUCUCCCUGAGUAUGCACCGUUGCAACAGUUCUUCGUGCUGAGACACCACGUGAUGAUCGGGUGUGAUAAGUGAGGGAGUCCUGGAUUAGGUGGUCCUCGGACAGUCGGACUAUAUGCUUUGGCCGGACUGUUGGACUAUGAAGAUACAAGAUUGAAGACUUCGUCCCGUGUCCGAAUGGGACUCUCCUUUGCAUGGAAGGCAAGCUUGGCAAUUCGGAUAUGUAGAUCUCCUCCCUUGUAACCGACUCUGUGUAACCCUAGCCCCCUCCGGUGUCUAUAUAAACCGGAGGGUUUAGUCCGUAGGACAACAACAAUCAUAAGCAUAGGCUAGCUUCUAGGGUUUAGCCUCUACGAUCUCGUGGUAGAUCAACUCUUGUAAUACUCAUAUCAUCAAGAUCAAUCAAGGAGGAAGUAGGGUAUUACCUCCAUCGAGAGGGCCCGAACCUGGGUAAACAUUGUGUCCCCCGCCUCCUGUUACCAUCCGCCUUAGACGCACAGUUCGGGACCCCCUACCCGAGAUCCGCCGGUUUUGACACCGACAUUGGUGCUUUCAUUGAGAGUUCCACUGUGCCGUCACCAUAAGGCUUGAUGGCUCCUUCGAUCAUCGGCAAUGAUGCGAUCCAGGGUGAGGUUUUUCUCCCCGGACAGAUCUUCGUAUUCGGCGGCUUCGCACUGCGGGCCAACUCGCUUGGCCAUCUGGAGCAGAUCGAGAGCUACGCCCCUGGCCAUCAGGUCAGGUUUGGAAGCUUGAACUAUACUGCCGACAUCCGCGGAGACUUGAUCUUCGACGGAUUCAAACCCAUGUCAGGUGCGCCGCACAGUCACGAUGAGCAUGACUUAGCUCUGUCAUCAGACGGUGUUCGGGAGAUCACACCUGUAGCUACUCCGGCCCUCAAGCCGGAGCAGAUCGCGCCGUCCGAGGAUGGGUGGAUGGACCCCGCCACGGAGGCCGCACACUCAGCGGCGAUAGAGCCGAAUACUGACUUCACGUCCUAUGAAACCUGUGUUGCCGGACACUUGGAUUCGUUCCCGGCCACGGGCUCUGAACCGCCUGCGUCCGUGCCUAUCGAAUCUAAUUGGGCACCGAUCAUGGAGUUUUCCUCCGCGGAUAUCUUUCAGCACUCGCCCCUGGGCGACGUGCUAAAUUCAUUAAGGUCUCUCUCCUUGUCAGAAGACCCUUGGCCGAACUAUGUCCGGCUUGAGUGGGAAGCGGACGACGAAGAAAUUCGUUACCCACCCACCACCCACUUAAUAGCCACUGUCGACGACUUAACCGACAUGCUCGAUUUCGGCUCCGAAGACAUCGACGGUAUGGACGACGAUGCAGGAGACGAACAGGAACCACCGCUCACAGGGCGCUGGAAUGCCACCUCAUCAUAUGAUAUAUACAUGGUGGACACCCCCAAAGAAAGCGAUGGCAAUAAGGCAAUGGAGGAUAAUCCCCCCGAGAAGCAAUCUAAGCACCGGCAUCAUCGGCGCCGCUCUAAGCCCCGCCAUAGCAAACGCAGCGAUACCGACACAAGAGACAAUAACGCUGUAGAGAGUGCCGAAGACGAAGACAAUCCCCUCCAGCCAGGCUUCGAGCGGGAGGAUGGGCAAGCUAGCCCUAAGGAACAGGCAGCAGACGGAGAAUCAGAGGAUGACAAUUACAUGCCUCUCUCCGAAAACGAGGUGAGCCUCGGCGACGAAGAAUUUAUCGUGCCUGAGGAUCCCGUCGAGCAGGAGCGCUUCAAGCGCCGGCUUAUAGCCACAGCAAAAAGCCUGAAGAAAAAGCAACAACAGCUUCAAGCUGACCAAGAUCUGCUAGAGGAUAGAUGGACUGAGGUCCUGGCGGCCGAGGAAUACGAACUCGAGUGCCCAACCAAAAGUUACUCAAAGCGCAGGUUGCUACCCCAACUCGAGGAGGAAGCAUUAAAGCCUAUGCUUCCAGCGUAUGAUACGGCUGACCGGCCACCUUGUGGCCGAGACAAAGCGGCAUAUCAGGCCGAAGUCCAGCCCGCACCCCGUCGCCAGUUAAAAAAAAAUACCAAGGCCCGGGGUAACACGCAGGACUUGCGAGACGUAUUAAAAACAAAGCAGGACAUGCAAGAUCGAUCUACAGAUCACGGGGGCGCGCCCCAACGCGUGACGACGACCGUCACGCCGGAUAUACUAAAAGCAAAUCCGGCAGGGCCGAAUACAGCAGACAAGACUCGUAUGAACUGCGUCGCGACAUAGCCCGGCAUAGAGGCGCCGCACACCCCCUAUGCUUCACUGACGAAGUAAUGGAUCACGAAUUCCCAGAAGGUUUUAAACCCGUGAACAUUGAAUCAUACGAUGGCACAACAGACCCCGCGGUAUGGAUUGAAGAUUUCCUCCUCCACAUCCACAUGGCCCGCGGUGACGAUCUACAUGCCAUCAAGUACCUCCCACUAAAACUCAAAGGGCCGGCUUGGCAUUAGCUGAAUAGCCUGCCGGCAAACUCCAUUGGCAGUUGGGAGAAUUUGGAAGACGCAUUCCUUGACAACUUCCAGGGAACUUAUGUGCGACCACCGGAUGCCGAUGACUUGAGUCACAUAACCCAACAGCCGGGGGAAUCAGCCAGGAAAUUCUGGACUCGGUUCCUAACUAAAAAGAACCAAAUUGUCGACUGUCCGGAUGCCGAGGCCUUAGCGGCAUUUAAGCAUAACAUCCGCGAUGAGUGGCUCGCCCGACACCUCGGCCAAGAGAAACCGAAGUCCAUGGCAGCCCUCACGACACUCAUGACCCGCUUUUGUGCGGGCGAGGACAGCUGGCUGGCUCGCAGCAAUAACACAUCAAGAAACCCUGUCAAUUCAGAUGCCAAAGAUAGCAAUGGCAGGCCACGUCGCAACAGACACAAGCGCCGCAACAACGGCGAUAACACCGAAGACACGACAGUUAAUGCCAGAUUCAGCGGCUCUAAAUCCGGUCAGCGGAAAAAGCCGUUCAAAAGAAGCAAUCCGGACCCGUCCAGUUUGGACCGCAUACUCGAUCGCUCGUGUCAAAUUCACGGCACACCCGAUAAGCCAGCCAACCACACCAACAGAGAAUGCUGGGUGUUCAAACAGGCCGGCAAGUUGAAUGCCGAAAACAAGGAAAAGGGGCUGCAUAGCGACGACGAGGAGGAGCCCCGGCCGCCGAACACAGGAGGACAGAAGAAAUUUCCUCCCCAAGUGAAAACGGUGAACAUGAUAUACGCAACCCAUAUUCCCAAGCGGGAAUGGAAGCGUGCACUAAGGGACGUCUAUGCGAUGGAGCCAGUCUCCCCAAAGUUCAACCCAUGGUCUUCUUGUCCGAUCACUUUCGAUCGCAGGGACCACCCCACUAGUAUCCGUCAUGGCGGUUCUGCCGCAUUGGUCCUUGACCCCAUCAUUGACGGAUUUCACCUCACUCGAAUCCUUAUGGAUGGUGGCAGCAGCCUGAACCUGCUCUAUCAGGAUACAGUGCGCAAAAUGGGUAUAGACCCCUCAAGGAUCAAACCGACAAAAACCACCUUUAAAGGUGUCAUACCAAGUGUAGAGGUCUGUUGCACGGGCUCAAUCACACUGGAAGUGGUCUUCGGAUCUCCGGACAACUUCCGAAGCGAGGAGUUAAUCUUCGAUAUCGUCCCCUUCCGCAGUGGCUAUCACGCACUGCUCGGACGAACCGCAUUCGCCAGAUUCAACGCGGUACCGCAUUAUGCAUACCUCAAGCUCAAAAUGCCAGGACCUCGUGGGGUUAUAACAGUUAAUGGAAACACAGAACGCUUGCUCCGUACGGAGGAGCACACCGCUGCCCUUGCAGCAGAAGUGCAAAGAAGCCUUCUGAGGCAAACCGCCAAUUCGGCGAAAAAGCCCCCGGACACCUUCAAGCGAGUCCGGAGUACCCUGCAACAGGAACAC